rnacentral:lncRNA from 1 species
UUUGAUAUAAUGAGAGCAACUACGAACAGAGCAGGGAGGAAGAGUAGGAGGAAAAGAUCAACUUUAAACAGAGACAUGAGGUGGGAGGGAAAGGGAGAGAAAAGGGAAAUUGCAUGGAAAUGGAAGGAGACCCUCAUUGUUAUACAAAAUUACAUAUAAGAGGUUGUGAGGGGGAAGGGGAAAAAAAAACAAGGGAAAGAAUUAAAUUACAACAGAUGGGGUAGAGAGAGAAGAUGGGAGGGGAGGGGAGGGGGGAUAGUAGAGGAUAGGAAAUGUAGCAGAAUACAACAGUUACUAAUAUGGCAUUAUGUAAAAAUGUGGAUGUGUAACCGAUGUGAUUCUGCAAUCUGUAUUUGGGGUAAAAAUGGGAGUUCAUAACCCACUUGAAUCGAAUGAAUGAAAUAUGAUAUGUCUAGAGUUUUGUAAUGCUUUGAAUAACCAAUAAAAAAAUAAAAAAUAAAUAAAUUUCAUAAAUUAAAAAAAAAAAGUGUUAAAAGUUGAAGUACCGAAUCUGAAAUUCAUAGGUCAGGUCAACAGGCUGUAAAUUACAGGCUUGAGGCAGAAUUCUUUAAUUCCUGAGUAACUGAUUUUUGUUCUUAAAGCCUUCAACUAAUUGGGUAAGAUCCAUCCUCAUUAUGGAUGGCAAUCUGCCUUUAAGUAAAAUGAUUAUACACACACACACACACACACAUAUACAUACAUAUGUUUAUAUAUACAAAAUAUGUAUUAUAUAUAUGAUUGUAUAUAUAAAGUAUAUACAAACACACACACAAACGAAGUACCCAAACAGCAUCAUCUAACAAAUGUUAGUCAGUACACAACUAAAUACCAUAUUCUAGUAAACUUGAUAUACAAAAUAAGCUAUCACAAUAUUUAUCUCUUGAUAGUGGAAGAUAGGAUUGUAUUUAUUUGUAAAAAUGUUUUCACCUUUUAUUUUGGUUUUCCAGAUUUUCUAAAAUGUGCAUGCAAUAAUUUCUAAUUUUAAAAAGCCAAUAAGCAUUUUUUAUUAAAAUAUUGAUAUAGAUGCUAUAAUAGUCUAAAGUAAAUAAAACAAUAUGGUAGAGAUGAAUGAAAUAUCAAUAUCUGUAGAAAAGCAAGCAAACUAAAUAUCAAUUGAUUUCUAAUUUGAAACACUAUCUUUAUGCAGUCCAAAAAUCAGUCUUUUUCCCACAGUUAUCAGUAAUAAAACAAAUCUGAUGUGAUGGUCUUUGAGUUGCUUUCUGGCCUUCUGAAGAAUACUUCUCCUUUUUGGUUAAAAGCAGGAUAAAAUUAUAUUACUCUCCCCUUAAAUAGAAAGCAGUUUUAAGUUAGCUAAAGAUUCUAAAUAAUUCAGAUUAUUAUUAGACUGUUUCCAUAAUGUGUUCCAUUUUAUUCAUUCUAAAAUGAUGUGCUGGUUUUUCCCAACAUUAGUUGUUAAAAAUCAGAAACAGAUUAAAGUCUGGGAAACUCUUGUUCCCACCAACUCAUUUCCCACCAGUUUUAUUAUAGAGGGAGUUAAUCCGUCUAGGGUGUGUACAGUGUUUCAUGGAACAACUUUGAAAUCCAAUGAAGUCAUUUUGUUGCCAUUCUCAGAGUUGCAAAAAUAUGGCUUAUAAGAAGAAGAAAUUGUAAGAUUCCCUUAUCAUGGGAAAAUGACAAUGUUUAGGCACUUUGUGACUGUCACUGUGGUCACAAGCUCUACAAUAAUCUUCAGAGCAUUUAUAAGCUUUUAGUUACAUGUACUGGUAUGUUCUUUUAGCAGUUUCAUCAAUUAACUCCUCAUCCACACUAUCAUAGUUCCUUUACGUAGAACCUUCUUUGAUUACUUUGGAAGUGUAGUCUGUGCUUUUGAAAAACACGUAGUUCUAACAACUUGAUGAUUUUCUUCACCUUAAUAAUAAAUUCCUCAUACAUACUAUGAAAAAGAAUUUCUCAUAAUCCCUUCGAUAUUACCUCUCUUUUCUUUUUUCCAAACUCCUUAGACAUUAAGGCCUCUAGGGUAGGUCAAAUAAAAUAUAAAAUUGAAAGCACUCAAUCUUUCCCUCUAUAAACGAGAGUGGAACCAUGAAGAAAGACAUGAGGAGGAUUUUCUGGAAAAUUUAUUGACAAUUUAGUUGAAUACAAGCGUCUCUUGACUUUACUAACCUUAUAAUCACAGUUAUCCUUGCAAUUUAUAUUAAAUUUAUUUAUUCAGGUAAUUAUUUUUUUGUUUUACCUGAUUAUCAAAAUGUUGGCUAUUUACAUUCAUUGAAUUCUCACUUUUAGAAGAACAUAUUUUUGAUAAAAAAUGACUUUUAGGGUUUUAUUUAGUUAUGUGUUUAUUAUAUGUGUUUUUCUUUCUCUUAUGGGGCACCAGGAUUGAACUCAGAGGCACUUGACCACUGAGCCACAUCUCCAGCUCUAUUUUGUAUUUUAUUUAGAGACAGGGUCUCACUGAGCUGCUUGGUGCCUCACUUUUGCUGAGGGUGGUUUUGAACUCUCAAUCUUCCUGCCUCCUGCCUCAGUCUCCUGAGCUGCUGGGAUUACAAGUGUGCACCACUGCAUGGGGCUAUAUGUGUUUUUCUUAUUUGCCUGAAUAGGAGUGGACUGGUUCAAAGCAUGAGUUCUUAGAAUAGAGAAACCAUGAUUGUAGGAAUUUUGUCUAAGAUCAGAGUAGACUAGUCCAAUUCUUAAUAGUGCUAGAAGACUUAUAGUUUGGACACAAGAUAUCUCCCAAAAGCUUCUGUGUUAAUGCUAGAAUAUAUAUAGAUGAGAUUAGAUUAUAGGAUCUGUCACCUAAUCAGUGCAUCCUAGUUUGAAAGAGCUAAUUGGAUUGUAAAUAUAGGCAGGUGGGUGUGGCUGGAGGAAGCAGAUCACUGGGUGUGUGCCCUGCAAGGGUUCAUCUUCCCUGCAGCUCCUUCCCCUCUCUGCUUCCUGGCCUCCAUAAAUUGAGAGGCUUUCCUCUGCCAUACUCUUCCACCAUGAUGUUCCACCUUAUCUUGGGCCCAGAGUUACAGAGUUAGCAGAUUAUGAACUGAACCUUUGAAACUGUAAGUCCAAAAUAAUUUUUUUUCCUUCUCUAAAUUGUUCUUGUGAGGUAUUUUAGUCACAGCAGUGAAAAGGUAACAGAAAUACUAAGAAGCUACAGGAUCAAAUGCAAAUUGGCUACAGCAACAUUAAGGCUCCUGAGAUAAAAGACAUUGUUUGAAACAAAUAGUUUUGUCUUUAUUGGAUACAGAGGCAGUUGAGUACUACAGAAAGCCAUAGAAAAUCUGACUUGAUCUUCUACCUCUCCCUUGCCCUAUCUGUCAACACCUUAUUUAGGCUCUGCUAAUGACCACAACCAAAUCUUUGAUUGCUAUUUGAAGUGUACACAUGCUAUUCAUUUAUUGAAUUCAACAUAUUACAUUGAAUUUGAUGGAUCAUGUAAUAAUUUAAUAAAUCAUUUAAUACUUAACUUAUUAAUUAUAAUAUAGAAUCCUAGUAUGUCAUACACAGUUACACUGCAUCACAAUAUAUAAGUAGUUCUGGAAAAAUUUACAUUUUUAUGUAUUAGAGUGAAUUCACAGUUAUAUUUAUAAUAGUGACAUUAUCCUUCAUUAUGCAAUCUUUGAGUAGAAAAGAAAGAAAAGCAAUGACAGGUAGUGAUACCACCAGUUACCAGUGAUGAGUUCUGCUUCCCCACAUGUUGAAGUUUGAACAUUAGAGAAGCAUGCCAAGACAAGCAUAUAACGCAGGAUUUAUUUAAAAAGGGGUAACAUAGACUUUUCCCAGGAGGGAGAAGGAAGCCAUAGCUGGUAUCCUGGUGUCCCAUGAAGUGAGGCAUUCUGCAUUUUUUAUGUGUCCUAUGCUUCCUUUGUUCAUUUGCUCUCUUCCCCUUAUCUCUCUCCUUCCUGCAUAUAUGACUAGGCCCAGGAAAUGCUGGGUGGGAUGGCCAAAAGGUGGGAAACAGGUGGGCUGAAGGGGGAAGGGCAGGAUGGAGUAGCCCAGGACACAUUUUACAACUCAAUGUAGGGAGGGGAAAUUCCUGGGACAGGUUACCUUGGCAACAGGUUGGAGUUGGGGCAGGUUAUCUAGAUAGGGUGGAGGGAGCUCUCUGAAGGCAUUUGGAUCCCUCAAGCAGCAGUUUCCAACACCCUGAACUCACUCAAUUGGCCUCCUUGAUCUGACCUGACUUGAUUUACCUAUCUACACAGAUGGUCUAAUUCUGGCUUCAGUAACAUUUCAGGAAUUUCAUUUAACUUUUAGAUUCAAGGGGUUAUGCUAAGGAUGGAAAGAUUAUGCAUUAAAUAUGUCAUAUUGUAUGAGAAAAUCAGACCUCCUCCCUUAUAGGAGAGUAAAGAGAGACUUACAAAAAAAACUUAAGGAGAUAUGCCUAAGAAAAGUUAAAACCCAUGCCUUCUGAUUUCUAAUUAUUGUCAUGAAAGUGUAGAUGGAUUCUUUUGCUGAGAAUAGAGGAUGAAGACAAAGAGAAGUAGCUAUUCCUCCAUUUACUAUGUGAAUUGCCUAUUAAUUUUAAAAAUUAGUCAUGGGAAAGAAUUCUACGUAGAAAGCCAUGUUGAGUGGCAAUUAUUUGCUAUUUGUAAACUUAAUCAUAGGAAGAGGUUGAUGUGUGAGAGUUCCUUAAAAUGUAUGAUACAUGCUUACCUCAGAUAUAUUGUGGAUUCCAGACCACUGAACUAAAGUGAAUGUCAAUGUCAUAUUAAUACAAGUCACAUAAUAUUUUGUGUUUCCCAGGAUAUAUAAAAAAGUCAUGUUCACAUUGUAUUGUAGUCAAUUAAAUGUGCAAUGCCAUCAGGUCCAAUAAUAUAUACACCUGAAUUAAAUCUAUUUUGCUGCUAAAAAUGCUAAUAAUCAUCUGAAUCUUUUGCCAGUGGGUCCUAAUCUCUUUGCUUGCAGAGCCUUGUCUCCCUGGUGAGUGGUUACAGAGAGUUUACAGUGGAGGUUGCUGAAGAUUGGGCUGCUGGGACAAUUUCUUAAAAUAAGAUAACAAUGAAAUUUGCUGCAACUGACUGUCUUCAUGAAAAAUUUCUCUUUAGAAUUCGAUGGCGUUUGAUAGCAUUUUAUCCACAGAACUUCUUCUGAAAUUGAAGUUGGUCUUUUCAAACUCUGCUGCAGCUCUGUAACCUAGGUUUAUGUAAUAUUCUCAAUCUUUUUUUUGUUCUUUGAACACUGUUGACAGCAUCUUCUCCAGGGGUGGAUUUUAUCCAUAAAAAGAGUAAUUCCUCAUCCAUUAAUUUUUUUUCAUGAGAUUGCAGCAAUUUAGUCAUAUCUUCAGGCUCCAUUUGUCAUUCUACCUUUCUUACAAUUUCCACCAUUCCUACAGUUUUUCUCAACUGAAGUUACUCAAAAGUCAAUGAACCACUCAAAGUCAUCCAUAAGGGGUGGAUUAAAGUUUUCACUAAUAUUUCUAUUUUGACCUUUUCGUAUGAAUCACAAAUGUUAUUAAUUUCACCUAGAAUGUUGAACCCUUUACAGACAAUUUUCAAUUAACUGUUCCCAGAUAUAAUAGAGGAAUCCCUAACUAUGGCUUUGUGUGUGUAUGUGUGUGUGUGUGUGUGUGUGUAUUUCUUAAAUAAUAAGAGCUAGAAGUAAAAAUUCUCCUCAAUUCAUGGGGUACAGAAUAGAUGUUAUGUUAGUAGGCAUAAAAACAAUAUUAAUCUGGUACGUAUUCAUCAGAAUUUUUGGGUGAUCAGGUGAACUGUUAAUGAUCAGUAAUAUUUUUAAAGGAAUCUCUUUUUAUUUUCUUUGAGCAAUAAGUUGCAACAGUGAGUUAAAAAUAUUUGGCAUAUCUUGUUAUAAACAGAUGUCAUCCAGUCUUUUGUUAUUUUUUUUAUGAUUUCAAGGUAGAAGAGAUUUAGUAUAAUUCUUGACUUUUGAAGUGGUAAAUGAAUAAUUGGAUUUAACUUAAAAUCACCACCUACAUUAUCUCUUAACAAGAGAGUCAGCCUGGCCUUUGAAACUUUGAAGCCAAGCAUUGACCUCUUCUCUCUAGCUGGAUAAGUCCUAGACAGCAUGUUCUUCCAACAUAAGGCUCUUUUGUCUGUGUUGAAAAUCUGUUGUUUGGCAUAGCUAUAUUUAUCCAUUAUGUUAGCUGUAUCUUCCAGAUAACUUCUAGAUCAGGACUUCGUGCUUCACCUUGUACUUUUAUGUUAUGGAGAUGACUUCCUUUCUUAAACCUCUUGGGCCAAAUUCUGUUAGCUUCAAACAUUUCUUCUGUAACUUCCUUACUUCUAUCAACCUUCAUAGAAAUGAAGAUAGUUAGGAUUUUUCUCUGGAUUAGACUUUGGUUUAAGGGAAUGUUGUGGCUAAUUUGAUAGAUUCAGACCACUAAAACCUCUCCAUAUCAGCAGAAAGAUUGUUACACUUUCUUAGGCUUUGCUAUGUUCACUGGAGUUGCACUUUUUAAUUUCUUCCAAGAGCUUUUCCAUUGUAUUCACAGUGUUGUGAACUAUGUGCCACAAGGAGAUCAGCUUUCAACCUGUUCUGGCUAUUGGCAUGCCUUCCUCACCUUACUUAAUCAUUUUUAGCUUUUGAUUUAAAGUCAGAGGCUUCUAACUCUUCUUUUCACUUGAACACCUAGGGGUCAUUGUAGGGUGAUUAAUUACCUUAUUUUAGGGGAUAGAGAGGCUUGAGGAGACAGGGCGAGCUAGGGAACAUCUGGUCAGAUAAAAAAUCAGAACACACAUAUUCAUCUAUUAAGCUCUUUGUCUUAUAUGAAUCCAGUUUGCAGCCCCUAAACAAUUAUAAUAAUAACAUCAAAGAUAGCAGGUCACAAUAACAGAUAUAAUAAUGGAAAUGUUCAAAAUAUUGGGUAAAUGCACAAAAUAUGAUACAGAGACACCAAAUAACACACUGUUGAAAAAAUUGGCACUAAAACACUUGUUCAACUCAGUAUUGUUACAAAGCUUCUAUUUGUAAAAAUGCACCAUCUGUGCAUUAUAAUAAAGCAAAGUGCAGUACAUUGAGGUGUGCCUGUAACAUCAGAUAUUUUCAAGUUGCUCCUGAAGAAUGGCUGUUGUUUAGAUUUUAACUUGCAAGAACUCUCUUUCCUGAACCCUAAAACUCAAAGAGCAAAGAUUAAAACCUGAGGUUAGGUUUCAAGUGACAUUAGAUUAUUUUUAUGUGUAGAAAAUUCCAUUAAAGGAAACUCCUCUUUAGGUUUUAUAAAUGCUUCAUUUGACCUUAUCAUUUAGAACUACUUAAUAACUUGUUAAUAUUUUAAUAAGCAUAUGAACCAUUUCAUCAACAUCUUUUUAUACUGAUUCAGGAACAUUUUGGUAAAGUGGUUCCAAAUAUUUUUGGUGGAAGUAUGAGCCAUUGUUGAAAUUUCUUCUCUAGAAUUUAAUGGAGGUUAUAAGCAUAAUGAUAAGUCAAGAUAAAUACUUCCCCUCAACUGAUGAAGUUUUAGGAAGAAAUAUUCAAUAAGCAUCAAAAUUAUUUUGAACAUUAUUAAGGAUAAUAAAUAAAUUUGAAGGUGGCUUUUGAAGUUAAUAAGAAAGCACGAAAAUCAAAAUCUCUUAUUUUAAAUCAUUCAUAAUUAAAAACAUAAGCAUGUAUCUUUUGGUCAUAUAUUAUGAACAAAUCUAUUAUGAUAAAUGUGACAGGGUGCUCAAAUAUUCAUGGGACAACAAACCCUUACCCCCCCCCCCAUAGUAGUUUAGAAUACUGAAGUGCAGACAUUGACCUGCGUGGGACGAAGGCCCAAAGUGGGUUUGGGUCCAUCCUACCACCAGCAGACACCUGCUGGAGCUCAGGCUCCAGCAUAGAACUGCCUCUUUUGACCAGCAGACCACCGGGAGCUCAGGGCUGGCCCAGAUCCACCCAUAAACACAUAAUGGGAUCCAGGCCCAGGGUAAGUCCAAGUUUGCCAUCCCCAACACCUGGGAGCCCAAGCCUAACCCACUCCAUCUUGGGACACAGCAGACAUUGCCAUAGCCUUCCCCAUGCAGUAGCUCCUACCUUUUGACAACAGACAGGGCCUAGAAGUAGCUGCAUCUCAGAGCAGGCAUCCUAAAGACAGUAUAAGUCCCACCCUUUUAGCCCCAUCUCUGUAAGAUGUUGCAUCCAUUUUGGGGUACCUCCACUAUUAUCUUGAGUUACCUAGCUAUUGCUCUCACAAACUUUAGUUGCACUAGCAUACAUUGAGGGACACCUGCAAGGUCUGGAAGCCCAACAUCAAGAUGACGUACAGACAAUCUGCACGGGUACUACAAGAAUAUAGGGUAGAAACUGUAAUAUCUCAGAUCCACACUUCAAGAAAGGAAGACACAUAGACAACAUGAAAAAACGAGGGAGAAAAGUGCCCCAACAAACCAGGACACGAUAAUAACAGAACCCAUGGACAGCAAAAUUGAUAAAAUGUCAGAGAAGGAGUUCAGAACAUUCCUAAUUAAAAUAAUCUGUGAAUUAAAGAAUGACCUAAAUGAGUAAAUACAGGCAAAAAUUAACACUCCAAUAAUAAGAUAAGAGAGCAAAUACAGGUAGCAAAAGAUUACUUCAAGAGAGAGACAUUCUGAAAAAAAGAAAACAGAAAUUCUUGAAAUGAAGGAUACAAUAAAUCAAAUUAAAAAACUCAAUAGAAAGCAGAACCAACAGAGUAGAUCACUUGGAAGAAAGAAUGUCAGAUAAUGAAGACAAAGUAUACAACCUAGAAAAUAAAGUUGAUCACACAGCGAAGAAAGUUAGAAACCAUGAAUAUCCAAGAAUUAUGGGACAGCAGCAAAAAGACCAAAGCUAAGAGUUAUUGGGAUAGAGGAAGGCAGAGAGUUUCAAACCAAAGGGAUGCACAAUCUCUUCAAUGAGAUAAUAUCAGAAAAUUUCCCAAGCAUGAAGAAUGAAUUAGAAAACCAAACACAAGAGGCUUACAGAACACCAAAUGUACAAAAUUACAACAGAUCUCAAGGCACAUUAUGAUGAAAAUGCCUAGCAUACAGAAUAAGGAUAGAAUCUUAAAAGCCACAAGAGAGAGGAAUCAGAUCACAUGGAGGGGGAAACUAAUUUAUAUCUCAGAAGAUUUUUCAAGCCAGACCCUCAAAGCCAGGAGAUCAUGGAAAAACAUAUAUCAAGCUCUGAAAGAAAAUGGAUGCUAACCAAGCAAAAUUAAACUAUAGAUUUGAUGAUGAAAUAAAAACCUUCCAUGAUAAACAAAAGUUAAAAAAAUUUACAAUGAGAAAGUCUACACUACAGAAAAUAUUCAGCAAAAUAUAGUAUGAAGAGGAAAUGAAAAAGAAUGAUGAAAAUCAGCAGAGGGAAGUAUUACACUAAAGGAAAAUGUAAUCAGAGGAGAAACCAAGAUAAAUACCAAAAAUAAACAAAAAUAACUGGAAGGACAAAUCAUGUCUCAAUAGUAACCCUGAAUGUUAAUGGCCUAAACUCAUCAAUCAAAAGACAUAGCAUAGCAGAUUGAAUAAUAAAAAAAAAAAUCCAACAAUAUGCUUCCUCCAAGAGACUCAUAGGAAAAGACAUUCACAGACUGAAGGUGAAGGGUUGGGAAAAAUCAUACCACUCUCUGUGGAAGCAGGCAGGGAUUUCCAUCCUCAUAUCAAAUAAAGCAGACUUCAAGCUAAAGUUAAUCAAAAGGGAUAAAGAAGGACAUUACAUACUGCUCAAGGGAACCAUACACCAACAAUACUUAACAAUGAUAAAUAUAUAUGCCCCAAACAAUGGAGCAACUUUGUUCAUCAAACAAACUCUUUUCAAGUUCAAGAGUCAAAUAGAACACAACACAAUAAUUUUGGGUGACUUAAAUACAACUCUUUUACCACUGGAUAGAUCUUCCAAACAAAAGCUGAACAAAGAAACUAUAGAACUAAUAAUACAAUUGAUAAGUUAGACUUAACUGACAUUCCUAGAACAUUUCAUCUUUCAACAAGUGAAUACAUUUUCUUCUUAGCAGCACAUAGAUCCUUCUCUAAAAUAGACCAUGUAUUAUGCCACAAAGCAACUUUUAGCAAAUCUAGCAAAAUAGGGAUAUUACCCUGUAUUAGAUCAGACCGUAAUAGAAUGGAAUUAUAAAUCAAUGAUAAAAAGAUAAAUGAAAGCUAUUCCAACACCUGGAGACUAAAUAUAAGUAACUGAAUGAGCAACGUGUUGCAGAAGACAUUAAGGAGGAGAUUAAAAAAAUUUUUAGAGGUGAAUGAGAACACAGAUACAACAUAUCAAAAUCUCUGGGACACUAUUAAGGCAGUUCUAAGAGGAGAGUUCAUUGUAAGGAGUUCAUUUCUUAAAAGAAGAAAAAGUCAACAAAUAAAUGACUUAACAUUACAUCUCAAAGCCCUAGAAAAAGAACAAAUCUACACCAAAAGCAGUAGAAGACAAGAAGUAAUUAAAAUCAGAGCUUAAUGAAAUCAAAACAAGAAAAACAAUUGAAAAAAUUGACAAAACAGAAAGUUGGUUCUUUGCAAAAAUAAAUAAAAUUGACAGACCCUUAGCCAUGCUAAUGAAGAGGAGAGAAAAAAACUCAAAUUACUAACAUACGUGAUGAAAAAGAAAAUAUCACAACAGACACUACAGAAAUCCAGAAAAUAAUUACAAAUUAGUUUGAAAAUGUGUAUUCAAAUAAAAUAAUGUCUUGGAGGCAUUGACAGAUUUCUAGAGUCAUAUGUUUUCCCCAAAUUGAAUCAGAAUGAUAUAUGCAUUUUAAACAGAUCAAUUUCAAGCAACAAAACAGAAGACACCAUCAGAAGCCUACCAACCAAGAAAAGCCCAGGACCGGACAGAUACACAGCUAAGUUCUACAAGACCUUUAAAGAAGAACUAAUACGAAUACUCUUCAAUUAAUUCCAGGAAAUAGAAAAAGAGGCAGCACUUCUGAACUCAUUGUAUGAGGCCAAUAUCACCCCGAUUCCAAAACCGGGAAAAGACACAUCAAAAAAGAGAACUUCAGACCAAUAUCACUAAUGAACAUAUAGAUGCAAAAAUUCUCAAUAAAAUUCUGGCAAAAUGAAUACAAAACAUAUCAAAAAGAUCAUGUACAUGAUCAAGUGGGUUUCAUCCCAGGGAUGCAAGGUUGGUUCAACAUAUGGAAAUCAAUGAAUAUAAUUCCUCACAUCAAUAAACUUAAAGAUAAGAACCAUAUGAUCAUCUCAGUAUAUGCAGAAAAGCAUUCAACAAAAUACAGCACCCCUUUAUGUUCAAAACACUCGAAAAAGUAGUAAAAGCUGUCUAUGCUAAGCCCCAGGCCAACAUCAUUCUAAAUGGAGAAAAAUUAAAACAUUCCCUCUAAAAACUGGAACAAGAAAGGGAUGCCCUCUUUAACCACUUCCAUUUAACAUAGUUCUUGAAACACUGGUCACAGCAAUUAGACAGACAAAAGAAAUUAAAGGGAUACAGAUGAGUAAAGAUGAACUCUAAUUAGCACUAUUUGCUGAUGAUAUGAUUCUAUACCCAGAAGACCCAAAAAAAUUCCACCAGAAAACUUCUAAAACUAGUAAAUGAAUUCAGCAAAGUAGCAGGAUACAAAAUCAACACUGAUAAAUCAAAAGCAUUUAUAUAUAUCAGUGACAAAUCCUCUGAAAGAAAAAUGAGGAAAACUACCCCGUUUAUAAUAGCAUCUAAAGAAAAAAUAAUAAAAAAUAAAAUACUUGGGAAUCAACUUAAUGAAAGAGGUGAAAACUCUCUAUAAUGAAAACUAUGAAAUGCUAAAGAAAUAAUUAAAGAAGACCUUAGAAGAUAGAAGGAUCUAACUUGUUCUUGGACAGGCAGAAUUAAUACUGUCAAAAUGGCCAUACUACCAAAAGCACUAAAUAGAUUUAAAGCAAUUCCAAUCAAAAUUCCAAUGACAUUCCUCAUAGAAAUAGAAAAAGCAGUCAUAAAAUUUAUCUGGAAAAAUAAGAGACCCAGAAUAACCAAAGCAAUCCUUAGCAAGAAGAAUGAAGCAGAUGACAUCACUAUACCAGACCCUAAACUAUACUAUAUAGAGCAGUAGUAACAAAAAACAAUAUGGUAUUGCCACCAAAAUAGACUUAUAGACCAAUGGUACAGAAUAGAGGACACAGAGACUAACCCACAUAAUUACAGUUAUCUUAUAUUUAACAAAGGCACCAAAAAUGUACAUUGAAGAAAAGAUAGCCUAUUCAACAAAUGGUGGUGGUUAAACUGGAAAUCCAUAUGCAACAAAAUGAAAUUAAAACCCUGUCUCUCACCAUGCACAAAACUCAAGUCAAAGUGGAUCAAGGACCUAGGAAUUAAACCAGAGACCUUGAACCUAAUGGAAGAAAAAGAAGGCCCUAAUCUCCAUCAUGUAGGAUUAGGCCCCAACUUCCUCAUUAAGACUUCUAUAGCACAAAAAUUAGUAUCAAGAAUCAAUAAAUGGAAUGGAUUCAAACUAAAAAGUUUCUUUGAGGCAAAAGAAAUAAUCAGUGAAGUCAAUAGAGAGCCUACUAAUUGGGAACAAAUUCUUAUCACAUGCCUGUCAAAUAGAGCACUAAUCUCUAGAAUAUACAAAGAAUUCAAAAAUCUUAACAUCAAAAAAACAAAUAACUCAAUCAAUAAAUCAGCCAAGGAACUGAACAGACACUUCUCAGAAGAAGAUACACAAUCAAUCAACAAAUAUAUGAAAAAAAUAUUUAUCAUCUCUAGCAAUUAGAGAAAUGCAAAUCAAAACUACUCUAAGCUUUCAUUUCACUUCAGUCAGAAAGGCAGCUAUUAAGAAUAUAAACAACAAUAAGUGUUGGUGAGGAUUUGGGGGAAAAGGCACACUCAUACAUUGUUGGUGGGACUGUAAAAUGGUGCAGCCAAUAUGGAAAUCAGUAUGGAGAAUCCUUGGAAAAAUGGGUAUGGAACCACCAUUUGACCCAGCUAUCCUACUCCUCAGUCUAUACCCAAAGGAAUUAAAAACAGCAUACUACAGGGGACACUGCCACAUCAAUGUUUAUAGCAACACAAUUCACAAUAGCUAAACUGUGGAACCAACCUAGAUGCUAUUCAGUAGAUGAAUGGAUAAAGAAAAUAUGGUAUAUUUACACAAUAGAAUAUUAUUCAGCAUUGAAAGAGAAUAUAAUCAUGGUAUUUGCAGGUAAAUGGAUGGAGCUGGAGAAUAUAAUGCUAAGUGUAAUUAGCCAAUCCCCCAAAACCAAAAGCUGAAUGAUUUCUCUGAUUUAAGGAUGCUGAUUCAUAAUAUGCUGGGAGGCGGGGAGGAGGGAGGUAUUAAAUGAACUCUAGAUAGGGCAAAGGGGAAAAGUGGAAGGAGGAGAAGAAAGGGGUAAUAGGGGUAGGAAAGAUGAUGCAAUAGUCAUCAUUACCCUAAAUAUACAUACGAAGACAUGAAGGAUGUGACUGUACUUUGUGUACAACCAGAGAUAUGAAAAAUUGUGCUCUAUAUGUGUAAUAUGAAUUACAAUGCAUUCUGUUUGUCAUAUAUAAUAAGUGAAAAUUUAAAACAAAUUAAAAAAUAAAGAAUACCAAAAUGCACAUUGAAAAGUUGAUGUUACCACAGUAUUAUAAAAGGAUAUAAAAAGACAAUUGUGAUUGGUCCUCCUCCUGUUUCAAUCACAUUCAAUUCACAUAAAAAAAUCUGAUACCCUCAUUUUAACUUUUCCCCACUGAGACAUUAUUAAAAUCUGAGAAGGUAGUGUUCUUCCUGAUUGUGAUAAGUGAUAAAACUUUGUGUUAUUAACAAAUUGUUCUACUCAUGAUUUAGAGGAGCAGCAUAUUUAAAAAUUUAAUUUUAAUAAGGUUAAGAGAGUGAUUAAAAUAAAUAUAUUAAAUAAUUUUUAAAUCAAAAAUUUAAAGAAUGUCAUUUAUUUUAAACAAUCUAAUUCCCUCCCAUCAUGUAUGGUUCUUCAUAUCAUUAAGAAAUACAAAGAACAUUUUUUACUUUCAAGUUGCAAAGCAAGAUUUUAUCUGUAUGUAAUGCAGCCCUCUUUUUACAUAUAAAUCAUUACUUAAAUAACAUUUCCAGCUUCAGUGCUGGGAAAGGCACAUUUUUGCAGUAGUUCCAGGGUUGGCAAUAGGAUUAACAUUUUAGCUUUUAUUUUGUCAGUCAGAUUCUGCAAAUUCCUGGGUCUGAUUAAUAAGAAGGACCUUGCAUGUAUAUCCUGAGGAUAGAAAUCAAUUCCACAUGCCUAGGAUAUAAAUGACCAACUUUGGAUGCAAAGUACAUCAAGUGAAGGCUUCAAGGGUAUAAUUGAAAGAGCAUUUCCAGCUUCCUAAUUAUUUUAUUGAACUCUUUACUUCCUUCUUAAGUAAAGAUUAUUUCUUUCCACAAAUGGCUUUCUUUAGGAAAUGUGUCCUUUUUACCUUCUGUUCUUGGGAAAAACAGAGUAUUCUUCUGAGUAUAUCGGCAGGAAAAGGAACAUGGAAAACUAUUGUGUUGGUGGGUGAGUCAAAACAUUGACUUUAUUAUGUAUUUUAUUUACAUUAAUACUUCCGACAACCCAAGAAUUUUUAAUAGUCUUUUUAGGUCAUCAUUCCUUACAUAAAUUCUACAUCAGCUUACCUAUGUUUAUGAUAUUUCAUAAUUACUACAUUCUAGUAUCUGUUUUCUCCUGUUUUUUUUUCUUUUUACUGAUUUAAGCUCUUUAUCCAUUCUUAAUAAAGAAUAUUUUACUGUGUCAUAGGUUAUCAUGGAAAUCUCUUAUACACUAAAGAUUAAAGGAUUAUAUUAAGAAAUAUGACAAUUAAUUUGGGCAAGAUUGAUGUAAUAUUAAAUCUUUCCUUGGAUCACAAAAUUUGUCCAAAAUAAACUUACUGGAAUAUGAUAGGACCAAGCUGAUUCAAAAUAUGUUUUGAAAUUGUGAGGUACUUGAAAGAGGAGUAUUAACAAAAUUUUGAAUUUAAGGUCACUACUAUCCAUAUUUCCACUCUAGUUAUUCUUCACCCGUUAAUUCUCCCUGUCAUCAGACAAAAGCACAAUUGAUGCUGCCAUCUGAGAGUUGGUCAAUGUUCACCUGUAACUCCUUCAAAGGACUCCCAAGCCAUAUAGUGAAACUACAGUUUUCAUGGCAGCAACUCUUGGAGGAUGGUAGUCUUCUUCCAUCUGCAUGACUACUCUGCUUGUUAGGGAACUUGACCUGUCCAAGUUUACAUGGUUUCCUCUCAAUUUCAUCAACAAAUAAUAAGCUGAGAUGCUUUGUGUGCUUUCUUAAGAUAUUUGAAUAGUUUCUCUUUCUACAUAAAACCUUAAAGAUCCUAAAAACACUUAGAGGUUUCUCUGAAUUGAUACCUAACUACAUCUCUAAAUUUAUCUUUUAUUUCUCAUUUCUUCUUGAUUUUAUUGAGGUAUAUCUGUAAACAAUGAAUACUUACAAUGUGAUAAGUUUUUGUUUAUUUAUUUAUUUUUUGUUUUUGUUUCUGUCACUGGGGAUUGAACCCACGGGUACUUAAUCACUGACCCACAUUCCCAAUCUUUUUAUUUUAUUUUUAUUUUGAGACAGUGUCUCCUGAAGUUGCUGAGGCUGGCUUUGAACUUGCAAUUCUCCUUCCUCAGCCUCCUCAUCUCUUGGGAUUAGAGGUAAUAAUAAUAAUGCCACUGCUCCUGGCAUAAUGUGGUAAGUUUUGACACAAGUUUAUAUCUGAUGAUUGCACUAUUAUCAAGGUGGUAAACUUUUAAAUCACUCUCUAAAUGUUCCUAAUGUCCUGCUGUAAUCAUGACCUCCUGACCUGCCUCUUUCCCCUUCCAAGGAAACAAGUGAUCAGCUUUCUAUCACUAUAGGUUAGUUUGCUCAUUUCAGAUUUUGAUAAAAAUGAACUAAUACAGUGUAUAUUUUUAAAUAUAAUAUCAUUAGCAUAAUUAUUUUUAGCUCCAUCUAUGUUGUGUCAGUAGUAAAUUUCUUAUCAUUACAGAGCAAUAUUCCAUUGUAUAAAAUACUAUAUUAAUUUAUUCAUGUACCUGUGAUAAAUAAUUUUAUUGUAUACAGAUUUUUGACUCCUUCAAAUAAAAUUAGUAUGACUACUUAUUUUUAUAUACACAUAUUUUUCUUCUUGGGAGAACAUGUAAAGGUAACUGGGAUAUGAUAAGAAUAUCCUUAAUAUUUGAAAAAUCUGCCAAAUUGUUUGUAUAGUGUACCACUUUAUUUUUCUACUGUUUGAGAAUGAGAGUUCUGUUUCCUCCACAUCCUUAUUGUAGUUUUAAUUGCUUUUUUUCCCUAACCACUGAAGAUAGUGAGCAUCUCUUUAUGUGUUUACUUGGAAUUCAAUGUAUAUCCCUUAAUGAAGUAUCUGUUCAAAUUUGUGGGCUAUUUUUAGGGGUGUGUGUGUGUGUAUGUGUGCGCGCGUAUGUGUUGAAAAAAUAUAUACAUGUGGAUACAAGUACUUUAUCAGAUAUAUGGUUUACAAAUAAUUUUUUCCAGUUUGUAGCUAAACUUUUCAUGCUCUUGUCUUUCAAAGAGCAAAUGUUUCUAACUUUAAUAAAAUGUAAUUUAUUAUUUUUUCUCCCUUACUUAACACAAGGUUACAAAGAUUUUCUUUUAUGACUUCUUCUGUAAGUUUUGUAGUUUCAGAUUUUAUAGUUAGGCUUAUGGUCAAUUUUGUGUGAGUUGGUGUAUUUGGUGUAAGAUAUUUGGUGAUCAAGGAUAAAUGACAAUAUCCAGUUGUUUCAGUGUCACUUGUUGAAAAAGCUAUUCUUUCUCAAUUGAUUUGCUGUUGUGUUUUAUUAAGAAUUAUUUGUCCACAUAUGUGGGCAUAUUUUGGACCGUAUUCUUAACUACACUGAUAUUUUUAUCUAUCAUGAUGCAAAUGGCACACUGCAUUUAUUUCUGUUGUUUCUAUUAAACAUGAAAUUAGGUGGUAUUAGUCAUCUGAAUUUACUCUUCAAAGUUGCUUUGACUAUUCUGGAUCCUUUGCAUUUCACUAUGACAUUUAGAAUCAGCAUGAAAUUACUAAAAACAUGGCCAGCAUUUAAAUUUCUUUUUACUUUAUAAUUUUUUAUUUUGUUUUAAUUAGUUAUACAUGAAAGUAGAAUGCAUUUAUACACUUUGGUAUUUCAUACAUAGAUAGGGCAUAACUUCUCAUUUUUCUGAUUGUACAUGUUGUAGAAUCAUAUCGGUCAUGCAGUCAUAUAUGUACAUAAGAUGGCCAACAUUUUUUAAUAGUUUGAGAUAUAAUUUACAAUAUAAUAUUUACAUAUUUUACAUGUAUAAUUGAAUGACUUCUAAAUUUAUAGAGAUAUGCAACUGUUAAGUUUCAACUUUAGAACAUGUUAUCACCUCCAAAAUAUUCUGCUUAUCUGUUUGCAGUGAAUUUCCUUUCCAAAUACCAGCCUCAGGCAUCCUGUAAUCUUUUUUCUUUCUUGGACAUUUCAUAAAAAUGGAAUCAGACUCUAUGAAACAUUGCAUAUAAAUUCUUUUACUUUGUGUAAUAGUUUUAUUUGGGUUGUUACCAGUUUUGCAUCUGUGAAUGGUGCCUCUAUCAAUAUAUGUAUAAAAACCUUUGUGUGGACAUGUACUUUCAUUUCUCUUGAGUAUAUUCCUAGGAUAUGGAAUUAUAAGGGUAAUAUGCUAAGUAUGUAUUAGGUUCAAAAAAUAAUCAUUAGUUAUUAGAUCAGUUUUAACACAUCAAAACUGAAAGAAAGCCACACAGUGUUCCUAUAUAUCCCCAUCCCCACGGGUGGACAAUUUCCUCCACCUUCAACAUUGCAUACCACAGUGGCAGUCUAGUUAUAAUUCAUCAAUCUACAUUGACAUACCAAUAUAACUCAAAGCAUGUAGUUUGUUAGGAUUCACUCUCUGUGUUGUUUAUAAAUUUGACCAAUGUAUAAUUAUACACAUUCCCCAUUAUAGGGUCAUAGUGAAGAGUUUCUCUGCUCUAAAAUCUUCUGUUGCAUCUGUUCAUCCUUUUCUCCUGCCCUGUAACCCAUGAUAAUCACUGAUAUUUUACUUUCUCUAGUUUUGUCCUUUCCAGAAUGUCAUUUAGUUAGAAUAAUAUAGCCUGUAGCCUUUUCAGAUUAGGUUUCUAUUACUUAGUACCAUAUAUUUAAAUCUCCAUGUCUUUUCAUGUCUUCUUGUUUCAUUUUAAUGCUGAAUAAUAUUGUAUGGUACAUUCCAUUAUCUGAAUGUACCAGAGUUUAUUUACCAUUCUCAGUCUUGAAAAUCAUGAAUAAAACUCUUACAAACAUUUAUGCAGGUUUUUGUGUGGACAUAGUUUACUGCCAAACUAUCUUCCAAAGCAACCAGACCAGUUUGUAUUCUUUCUAAUAAUGAAAAAAAAAAGAUUCUUUUUGUUCCACAUCUUAGCUAUAAUUUGGCAUUAUCGGUGUUUUGGAUUUUAGUGAUUAUAAUAGGUAGAUAAAAUAUAUGCCUUGUUUUUGUUUGCAAAUCCCUAAUGAAAAAUGAUAUGGGGUAUAUUUUCAUAUUGUUAUGCUAUCAUAUAUCUUAGUUGGUGAUGUGUCUUUUGCUCUUUAUUCAUUGGAUCGUUUGUUUUCUUAUUGUGAGUCUAGCAAGUUCUUUGUAUAUCUUGAAUAAUGGUCUUUUAUUGGUAUUUAUCUGUUUUGCAGAAAUGUUUUCUAGUCUGUACCUUGUCUUAUUCUCUGAACAUUAUUUUUCACAGAACAGAGUUUUAAAUUUUAAUGAAGUCCAUAUUCUUAAUUCCUUGUUUCAUGAAUAGUAUCUUUACAGUUGUAUCUAAAUUCUUUUGACAUACCUAUGGUCAUAUAUGUUUUCUCCUAAAAAAUUUAAAUCUUUGUAUUUUAUAUUUAAGUUGUUGAUAUGUUUUGAGUUAAUUUUUGAGAAGGGUGUAACAUCUGUGUCCAGAUUUUUUUUUUUUUUGAGUAUGGGGAUGUCCAGAUGUUCCAUAACCAUUUGAUGAAGAGACUGUCUUUUCUUCAUUGUAUUGCUUUUGUUUUUUUGUAAAAAUCAGCAAACUAUAUCAGACUAUAUGCACAUGGAUGUAUUUGGGGGUUUUCUGCCCUAUUUCACUAAUAUAUUAUUCUCCAAUACAAAAAUGUCUUGAUUAUUGUGGCUUUAUAUUAGGUCUCAAAGUCCAAUAUUAUAAGUCUUCCAAUUUUGUUGUUCUCCUUUAAUAUUUAUUUAGCUAUUAUAGGUCUUUCAUCUCUACAUGUAAAUAGAAUUAGCUUAUAAUAUCCACAAAAUAAGUUUAUGGAAUUUUGAUUGGGAUUUCAUUAAAUUUAUAGAUCAGAUUAGAAAAACUUGCAUCUUAAUAACACUGGGUCUUCCUAUUUGUGAAUAUUGAAUAUCUGCAUUUAUUUAGAUCUUUGAUCUUUUUUCAUUGAGUUUUAUAGCUUCUCUCACAUAGAUGGUUUGGGAGAGGGAAGAAUAGAAGUUCAUUGGAUUAGACAAAGGGGAAUGAGUCAAGUGGGGUGGAAAUAGGAAAGACAGUAGAAUAAAUCAGUCAAAAUUUUUCUAUGUUUAUAGAUGAACGCACAACCACUAAAACUCCACAUCAUGUACAACUGCAAGAAUGGGAUCCUAAUUAGAAUGAAUUAUUCUCCAUGUAUGUAUAAUGUUCAAAAUACACUCUACUGUCAUAAAAAAAAGAAAUACCCCAUUUGAAUGGAAGGAGAUGAAGAUGGGAAAAUGAAGUGGGGCUGUCUGAAUUCUUGGAUUCUAUAGAACAUGACUAUAGAGCUAUUGUAUCACUACUCAUGUCUAGUUUUCAAGAAAAGAAAAGAUGCCCUUGAAGUUGAUUCACAGAUCAUAAGGACUGACGCAUUCACCAUUAACUAAAGGGGCAGAGCUUCUUCCUCAAGGAGGAACCUAACAGAUAUUCACAAGGUCAGUGACCUACCAAUUCAAAUGGCCGGGGCUGCUCUGUAGAGUAUUGGUGGUGACACUGCAACCCAAGUGGUCCUGUAGAGGAGAUCAGACCAAAAAAUUACUUUGAGCCUUAAAAUCUAGAGGCAUUCUCCCAUCCUUUUGUUUAAACUUGCUUAGGACUAUUAUCCCUUCCUUCUUUUCUUUCUUUUAAAUGGUAAUGUCUAUCCUUAUGCCUGUCUUCCAUUGUAUUUUGGUAGCAUAGAACAAUGAGUCUGAUUUCACAGGUUCAAAACUGGAGAGGUCUUUUUUACUCAAGAUGAGUCAGAUCUUGAGUCUUAUUCAUAACUAUUCUAAAUUUUAUUUAGAUAAGGCUUUGGACUUUAAACUUGAGAGUCAGUGCUGGAACAAAUUAAGACUUUGGGUGCUGUUGGGACGGAAUGAACAUAUUUUGUAUGUGAGAAGGACAUAAAUUUUUGGGGGGUCCCAGUAGUAAAAUGCUAUUGAAUAAAUAGUAUCCCCCAGAUUCAUAUGUUAAUAACUCUAGCUUCUAAUGUGAUGGUAUAUGGAAAGGGGGCUUAUGUUAGUCACAGUUUUCCAGAGAUGCAGAACAAAUAAAACUUAUACAUGAGGGUAAGACUCUCAUGAUAGAAUUUGUGCUGUGUUGUUUCCACAUGCAUACAAAGAAGAAAGGUCAUGUGAUCACAUAGUGAGAUGGCAGGAAGAGAAUCCUAUUGUGCUACUACUCUGAUCUCAAGUUUCUCAUCUCCAGAAGGGUAUAAAAAUAUAUUUCUAUUGUGGAAGCCACCCAAUAUAUGGAAUUUUGUUUGGUAGCACUGGCUGACUAAGGUAGUAUACAUUUUGGGGACAUUAUUUCUCCAUAAUGAGAGGAAGAAUAUACUGAUUAACUUCAAAAUCCACUAUAUUGUUGUUGUUGUUUCUCCUGUUUGCAUUAGUUAGGAUUCUUUAGGUCUUUACAAAUAGAAACUCAAUGGAAAAAGGCUAAAGGCAUAAAGCCAACAUUUGACUUAUAUAACUGGGAAGUCUAAUGGAUAGCUGAAUCCAAGGGUUGAAAAUAUUAUUAGAAUUCAGUCUCAGCAUUGUAUAAUUCUAAUGAGAGACACUUGGAGACAGGCUUCCUCUACAUGAAAGGUAGGUGGUACAACCCAAGACUGUGCCAGAUUUCCUGUUGCUAAGGCAGUGUCAUCCCUGUUAACUUCUAUACUCUCUGCCUCAUCACAAGGGAGACGCCGGGGAACUAAAUUUUCCUGAGCUCCUUGUCAACAGCUCAUCCUGUUAAAUUAUAACAGAGAGUAGCAUAUUUUCAGGAGGGUUGAAGAAACCAAUAAAGUGAGUCACUAUAUUUAGACUCAGUCAUAGGGAGUUCACCUUGUUUCCAGGAUAGAUGAAGGGCUGUUUGAUUGUCAGACAACAAACAGUGGAAUACUGGAACCUUCCAAAAGAAAGGAUUUGAAGUGAUGUUAGAAGAACAAGACACCUAUCAUGGCUCUUUCAGACAACACAGAAUAAUUAUGUCACUAAAUACUUUUUUUGUUUUAAUUUUUAUAUAAAAGGGAAUAAAUUGUGAUGUCCAAUCAAGGCACCUGAUGGAGAUUUAAGAGAUUUCUUAACUUUGUAUACAUUUAUUUAUCUUUAACAAAGAAUGAUUAUGUUCAGUUUAAUUCUCUGAAUUGUAUCAAACAAUUUGCUUAGAGAUUAAUAAAGGGAAAGAAACAUCAGAUGACUUAGAAAUAAGAACUAUAAAAUAUCAUUUUUCUAGCAGGAUUUAAAAUUUAUUUUCACCUUCACAACUAAGUAACAAGCAAUUUCAAUCACAUACAUACUUUAUUUAUAAAAAUUAUAUAUAUUACAAACAAUAUUAUUUUUAUAUAUUCCUUCUAUAAAUUUUAUAUUAGGCUUAAUAUAUUAAUUAAGAAUUGAAGAAACAGUAGAAUAGCAGAUAUCAUAUUACACAAUUUCUCUUUUUAUAUUAUAGAAUAUUUGAGAUAGUAUAGAUGAUCAUCAACCUACUUUGGGAUUGCAUCCUAAUAAAACCAAUGUAAGUUGAACAUAUUAUUUUAAAAUGUACUGUUAAUUUACAUUUAAUCCUGAAAUUCAUAGCUUAAUAAACUGUAUGCUACAGAGCAUUGGUUACCUUUGUGAUCAUGUGGCUCACCAAAAGUUCACUGCUACUGCUCAGCACAAAGAAUAUUCUACUGUCUAACCUUAGCUUGGGAAAAGAUCAAAAUUCAAAACUCAGAGAGUGAUUUCAACUGAAUGUAUAUCAUUUUAGUAUCCUGAUAAAAAUUGAAUCUUCGUAUGUUGGGGACUGAAUGUAUUAGUGUUACUUAUGAUAAAAGCUAAAGGGUGCCAUGAAAAGUUACAGAAAUGAAUGAUAGAACAAGACUGAAGUUUGUGUCUUCCCUAGUACUACUAUUGCUAUUCCUGCUGAAAAGCAGCUAUUCCAAAAUGACAUACCAGCUUUCCUCCUUGCAGUCAUUCAGAAGGUUCCCAAAUUCCUUCAUUUAGUGUCUCUCCCACCUCUUCUGGCACUGUACUAAUCUUUGUGUUUGAAGCUAAGUCAGUGCCCUAUGUUGGUGAAGCCUACUGGAAGAAGGAGGAGUUGUGGAACAUGGAGGAGACAAACCCACAUUCUUAAUGCUUACACCUGUAACUAUUAUUCAUCAUCCAGUUAAUUAUGCAUUAGUCACACACUUUACUGCAUUUAACUUAAAAAAUUACAGGCUACGUAUGCCACAAUUGUUUAGAUUUAAUGAAAGCAAAUUCUAAAAGGCUUGAAAAGAACCUCACAUCCAGAGAGAAAUGAAGAAAUGCCCUAGAAAAUUGUCAUGAAUCUCACAUAAUUAAAGGAAAAAUUGUAAAUUAAAGCUUUUUGUUCAUCAGCAUUCUGUCACUAUAAUGACUACCUGAGAUAGUUAACAUAUAAAAACUUUAUCUUGGUACAUUGUUUUAGAGAUUUUAGAGAUCUAGUCUCUGACUGAGUGGACCCCUUGUUUCUACGACUAUGGUGAGGGUACCUGAUGACUAUGGUGGGGUAGUAGUGUGUAGUGGAGCAAAACUAUCAACUCGUGGCCAAGAAAUAAAAGUGAGCAAGGAGGGAGGCUAGUGCCUCCAAUAACCCAAAAGCCUCCAACCAGGCUUACAUCUUAAAGGCCCCAACACCUCCCAAUAGCACUACAAUGAAGCAACCCUUAAUACGCGGACAGUUGUGGAUACUUAAGAUCCACAAAUGAAAUCAUAAUGUCAUACAAAUAAAGAAUUAUUGUAUGUCAGAAAUAUUAUUUAGGGCUAGGGUUGUGGCCUCAGUACCACAUAAAAAUAUAUAAAUAAAGUAAAAAUAUUGUGUCCUUCUACAGCCAAAAAUUUAAAAAAUUUAUUGAAUUUAUUAAUUAGUGAAAGAAUCUAAUACAAUGUUACAACUGUUUUGAGGUAAAAUUCUAAUACCACACAUAUUGAUAAGGAUUACAAUUAGAUAUAGAUCUAUUAUAUCUACCAAACAACCACUAAUUACAUUCCAUCAGACAUUAUUCUUUUGCAUUUUCUAGAUAAUUAAUUAUAAAUGUCCUCUGACUUAUAGAAUUGAAAAUUAGCUCAAAGACAACAGUAUGUUGACAUAACCUGAAAGAGUGAAAUAUAUCAGAUACUAUUAAUAAUUUUUCUGUGUUUCAAAUGUUUUAUAAUUUUUCAUGCUAAAGCUAUCUAAUAUAAAUGCUUUCUGCUUAAAGGGGUUGUAAGUGAAGGAAGUGAGAAUUAAGAUAAUCAAAACAUGGAGUCAAGUUGAAUAAAGCAAAGACAUUUAUUCUAGAAACCUAUCUCUAUAAUCCCAUGGAAUUGGUUAAAUCUAAAAUGAAGCUAUAUAAAAAAUAUUCAGAAGGGCCUCCUUAAAUUAUUUUUCAAUUAGACUUUUUCUAAAAUAAAAUACCUUAUUUAUUUUUCAUUCAUUCACUGAUUAAAUUAUCUAUUUAUUAUAUAUUCACUGAGAAAUUCCUUUACAUGCAUGAGGAGAGGCCUAAUGCAGGAAUUGCCUUCUAGAAUUACCACUGAUUCAUAUCAGAUCUGAAUGCAAUCUAAAAAGAAGAAAAAAAUAAUACCAGUUAUAUUAUCUGAUUAUAUUUGAAUCUGAAUUAGUAAUUUUUCUUAGAAUUUACCGAGGAAUAUGUACUUCUUGAUCUGGAACUAUUUUAGGUAGCAGUUUGCUAUGAUGAAAUGUGUGUGUGUGUGUGUGUGUGUUUCUUUAUGCUGAACUGAGUUGUUAUUGGUGCAGUUUUAUGACUUUUAUGUCACAUUUGAACAUUCUGAGAACAUUUCUGCUGUCACUCAAAUUCUGACCUGAUUCUAUUCAGUUCAUCUGGUAGGCUAACUUGGAUGUUCCACACUUAUUCAUUCCUAGCUUAAAAAUAACCAUAAAUUGCUUCAGUGUUGGUGACCCCAUAAAGUUGUUGAUGACUUUUUAUUUGAUGUGAGGCCCCAUAUGAUUAUUUUGACAACUUUUGGAAGUAACAAAAGUAACAUUUAGGAAGAAGCAGAUUUUUUAGUUAUGUAAAAGGUCAGUGUUGAUCAUUGCUCUUUUCAUCUUUAAGCUUAGUUUAGGACUCAAUCUUGUGAUUUCCCCCACAGAAUGAAGACAGUUAAUGAUUUGAAACUUCUCAUUAAAUUUUCUUUCCCUUAAAUACCCUAGUUAAUGGUGUCUGAAUUGUCCCAUCAUUGUCAUUUUUUAAUUAAUGCAAUGCACCAAAUAAAAAUUUCUCUGCCAAUAAGAAAAUAAACACUUUAGCCUUUAACACCUGCAUAAAAAUAGCAUAUUUAAUUAAUAAGGUCCUGAUAAAAUGGGACAUGGACCAGAUCAAAUUUGAUUGGUUUCAAGGAAAAAGAGAAGAAGAAAGAAAAGAGAAAAUAAGAAGACACUUUAAGAACUGACCUAGUAAACAAUUUCAUGCAGUAAGGAAACCAAGGACAACACUUCCAGGUAAAGGGAUUAGUCUUAGUCCAUUUGGACUGCCAGAGCAAAUAUAAAACACUUGGUGACUAAUAAAGAAAAGAAAUUUAUUUCUCAUAGUUCUGGGGUUGAGAAGUCUAAGAUUAACAUUUUGUCAGAUUUGGUGUCUGGUUAAGGGUUUUUUUUUUUCUUUUCGUAUAGGUGGCAUCUUCUCAUUUAGCUCUCACAUGGUAGAAAGAAAAAAGCAGCUCUCUGGGGUCUCUUUUGGAAAGGCACUAAUCAUAUUCUUGAAGGCUCUUUAUCAUGACCUAAUCACCUCCCCACAGUCCCCACCUCCAAAUACCAUUACCCUGGAGCUCAGCAUUUCAACACAUGCAUUUUGGAAAGAAAUGAACAUAAGAGAAAUAUCAAAAUGAAGAAGAAAGAAACUGCAAAACUUUUGUCCUAUGUUAGCCAUUUUUGUUGUUGUUGUUGCUCCUGUAACCAAAAUACCUGAUAAGAACAACUUAAGGAGGAAAAAUUCAUUUUGACUCAUGAUUUCAGAGGUCUCACUCCAUGGCCAGCCAACUCUCUUGAUCUUAGCCUUAGGUGAAGUAGAGGAUCAUGGCGGAAGGGCCUGGUGGAGAAAAGCUGCUCACCCCAUGGCAACCAGGAAGGCAUGCCCCCAAUGCCCUAAUUCCUUCAGCCACCAUCCUGCCUCCUGCAGUGACUACACAGUAGCCCUUUCAUAUUAUUAAUGCAUCACAUGGUUUACUCAUCUGAUGGGUUUUAACCAUCAAAUCCAGUAUUUUCCACCUUUGAACAUUGUUGCAUUACCUAACUCACGAGAUUUGGGCGGGGGUGGGGGUGGGGAAGGGGAGGUGGGGGUGGUAUUCCAGAUCCAAACCAUAGUAGUCCUUGACUUAGGGCUUCUUGUAUUGAUGCCACUUUUUCUUCUAUUCUUCAAAAUGAUCAAAAUCUCUAUGGGAACACUUAUUCAAACUCUAUUGCUCACAGUUUAAUCAAUGGUGAAAAUGCUCAUUUAUAAGGAAUGAAUCAACCGUGUUUCAAAGAAACACAAAUUGAAUAUUUGUGUCAGUAAUCGGGAUUCACACUUUAAUAUAUGCUUUGCAAUAAUGUCAAAGAAAAUUUGCACAGCACAGAUUGAAUAGGUAAAGAAGACUUUAUUUAAGAAUAUUGCAAUAAGGGAGAGAGUUUGAACCCAAUUCUGUUGAAACAAAAGUUGGGGGAGUUUUAGUACUGGAGUGAGGUAGUAGAAAGUCAAUGGAAGAAAAAUUAGGGGAAAUGAUGCGGAUAUUAUUAAGCCAUGGUUCUGGCUAAUAUACAGUUAUUGAAAUUAGGAUCCUGCCCUACUCUUAUCCCGUAAUUAAUGACAAUUAAGAAGAUUUUCUUUAUGGAUAACUACAAUUCAAAGGGAUGGUUUCCAGGUUUUGAGGAAAACAUUUUUGCUUUGUAAAACUAUCAACAAUUUAAGAAUAUUUACAUCUUAAAUUAGCAGAGAACAACUUCAUAAUUACAAGUUUUCUAAAGUAAAUGCUGUCAAAACAAGAUGGGAGGGAGUUAAGGGUCUACAGUUAGAAAUGUCUCUAAAAUUUACUCCAGCUUAAGGGAAUGUUAAAGUCUUCUUUCAUAAUGGACUAAAUUCCUUUAAGCUUUUCUCUCUUAAAAGAAAGACAAAUGCCAUAUGUUCUCGCUAGUAUGUGGAAGCCAAAAAAAAAAAAAAAAAAGAUUGAUUGCAUAGAAGCAGAGAGAAUAGUGGUCUCCAGAGGUUACAAAGGUGGGAGGAAGGGAAGAUAGAGGGAGGUUGGAUAAUGGGUACCAAAAUGUAGUUACACAGAAGGAAUAAGUUUAUAACGACUUAAAUAGUUCACAGUGAACAAGAACAGAAGAUAUUGAAUUUUCCCAACAUGAAGAACAAUAAGUGUUUGAGAUGAUGGACAUUCCAAUUACCCUGCUCUCAUCAUUACAUAUCGCAUUUAUGUACAUGAAUCAUCACAUUGUACCCUGUAAAUAUGUAUAGUAACGAUAUGUCAAUGUAAAAAUACAUAUGGUUUGUGAAGCUUUCUUAGGAGAGGGUGCUGGAGGGCCACUGCAGGAAGAAGACUUCUUCCAUGGAGUGUUGGUGUGAUGCACUGGUUUAGUUAUUAUGGAUGUGAGGAUGUCGGAUAGAAAUGUGGGAGCCACAUGCCCAGAAUGCACAUCUCAUUGGUGUUGUAGCCCCAGAGUGUCCUGUGAAUCCCCUUCCUCAGACCUCCCCAUAUAGAAUGCUGUGUUCUAUGUUUCCAGCCCUCACUGGAGCCCCUACUUCUGAAGCACACUGACACCUGACACCUUGACCACAAGCUGUUACUUAAUCCUCCUGCCUGCUUCCUGGAGUGUUGCUUCCUAUCUGCUCCUUAACAGCAGAGCACCUCUGCCCUGGCAAACCAGAAAACUGUUCUGCCAUUCAUGGGUCCAGCAAAACUUUCUCUGAUGAAAUUUAUAUCCUAGACAUAGAGAGAGUUCCCCUUUCCAUGGGUGCCCUUUCUUAUCCUUCGGUCCUAGGAUCCUUUAGUUCAAGUUUCUUUAUACCUUCCUGUUACUCUUUUAUCCAUUUAUUCUUCCUAUUAACGGUCCCAAUUAAAUCACUGAGUUAUUCUAAUGGACUUGACCCAGGAUGCUACAAUAUUCCUCAUCAUUUUAUUGUUUCCCUGGUGAUUCUCAAGUGUUGGUCUUGUGUUUGCUUUCAGUCACUGUAACAAAAUACCUGAGAGUAUUUAUAAGGAGAAAAGGUUUACUUUGGCUCACAGUUUCAAAGCUUUCAAUUUAUGGUUGCUUAGCUCUAUUGCUCUAGGCCACAGGAGUGUGGUGGUGGACUGUGUCCCUCACAGCAGCUAAGAAAGCAAACUAAGGGACAAAGAGGAGCUAGAGUCCCAAUAUCCCCUUCAAGUGGACUAACUUCCAUCUUCUAGAUCCUCACAUUCCAAUAGCACCAGAGCCCAGACCAAGCCUUCAACACGUGGGCUUUUGGGGGACAGUCAAGAUCCAAACUAUAACAUUUAAACCUAUGCCAAAUUCUUUCAUAUGGAGAGGCUUAAGGCAGGGUGUCCAUAAAUUUCCUGGUUUUCAUGUAUGGUUUUGGACUAGAGGACCAUAGCAUUCCACAUGUUCUCAAAGAUUUCAAUGACCAAAGAAAAGAUUAAGAAUAAUUUUUCCACUCUGUAAAGUGAGCCUCAAACUGGCUUGCAUUUUAGAAUCACUUGUGCAUUAAAAAAUGUCCCUUUGCCUAGGCUCCACCCCAGACCAGUGAAAUUGGGAACGGAACACAGGUAUUUUAAAAAGUGAUUCUAAUAUGCAGCCAGGGCUGAGAAACACUGUUUCAGGGGCUCACAGACAUUCCCGUUUCCUGGGAUCUUCACUUUCUCUUAAUCACUGCUUUAUUAUUCCUACUUGAAAUGAGAAGACUUUCCGGCAGAAAGUUGGCCCCUCGAUGGCAUCACAAGUUCUCUGAAGACAAUUUAGCAUUUCACUUUUUAAACUGAUUUUCUGUGUAAUGCCUUCAACAUAAAAUGAUCGUACAUUAAUAAUCACUCAUGAAUGGUAUCACAUAUGAGCUAUAAAGGAACAUUCAAUUUGCCCUGCAGCAGGUAAAUAAUGCCCUCCUGAGCGGGAGAGAAAAUUUCUCCAGAUAAAAUGACCUUUCAAGUGGUAGAAAAUGACCUUUUGGAGAAAAUUUCUUCAACACUGUUUAGAGGGCUCAUUUAGAAAAUGCCACCAAACCACUGAGUAAAGGCAUGUUCUGAACAAAAUUAUUUUAUAUUUAGUUUGAACUUUAUACAAGCAAUUUGGCUGUUCCCGAUAUAGCAUGCAGUGAGAAGGAAAGAGAACUUAACACCAUUCUUUCUAAGCAUUGAAGUAAAACUGACUAAACAUGCCACAUCUAAGUGUCAAUUUACUUUUUCAGCUAGUAUCAUAAGUUUCUUUAUUUUUAUCACAAAGAUAUUCAAAUGUAUUUUUAUAGAAAGCCUGAGACAUGAUGCAGCAUAAUUAUGUCCUAUAAAUAAAAGAGAAAAUAGAAUAUAUUGUUGUACUUAUUUUGUAUUAUUUUUCUCAUUUUCUACAGAUAUCCUUAAUGGUUUUUGCUGUUGUUGUUGUUUUUGGUAUGGGGGAUUGAACUCAGGGGCACUCCACCACUGAGCCACCUCUCCAGCCCUAUUUUGUAUUUUAUUUAGAAACAGAGUCUCACUGAGUUGCUUAGUGCCUCACUUUUUGCUGAGGCUGGCUUAUGAACUCGUAAUUCUCCUGCUUCAGUCUCCCCAACCACUGGGAUUACAGGCAUGUGCCAUUGCGCCGGGCAUCCUUAAUGUUUUAUAAAGUGAUAUGUGAAUUGUCUGGGCUUCUGAGUUCCUGUAUAUUUGUAUUGGUAAUCUUAUUAAGUAAGAUGUCAGGUUCUUAACCUCCAGCUGAUUCCCUCAUCUUGUCUGAUAGUCUUGGUCAAACAAAAUGGUUCUUUUAUUAUGGAUCUAAAAGUCAGCAUUAUAUUCUGUGAAACAUAACCAGGAAAUUAUUUCAAAGUGUCUAAUUGAUUGAGGAAGACCCCUUUCACCUGUGAAUUAAAUGAGGAUGUCGUAAAUCUGAGGAGUUUAGCUGAUGAAAAAUGAAUCAGGAUCAAGAGUGGAGGUAAUGUUUGUGUAAACAAAACUUCAACUGUAUGGAUUCAGCCUGAUUCAUGGUAAUUAUUUUUCUUUGUACGCUAUGGAGUCUAUAUUUUAGAAAAUACAAAGAGGACUUGAAGGCAUGUAAUAUGUAGGAGAAAAGUUAGAAGGAUUUAGCUUGCAAUUGACUUUAAUGCUACUGGUUAAAACAGAUUAAGAUACAUAUUACUCAUAGACUCUGAAAUCUGGGUUCUCUGAUAUACAUGGACGAGAAAAACUGAAAGGAGACAAAAUAAAUUCUGUAAGAGUACUUAGGAAAAGUCACAAUGUACAUUUUCUUAGAUAAUAUGUUAACUUCACUCAGUUUUAAGUUGCAUAAAAUUUGUUAGCAUAAUUUUACUAAAACUUACAUGAGAUGUUCAGGUGGGAUAUUAGGAGAGUAUUUUGGCAGGAAUAUAUUAAUGUUCUAAGGCUGCCAUAACAAAGUAGUAUAAACUGGUGACUUAAAACAACAGACGAUUAUUUAUUGACAGUUCUGGGAGCUAGAACUCCAAGAUCAAAGUGUCAGCAAGAUUGGUUCCUUUUACAUGUUCUGAGGGACAAUAUGUUCCACACUUUUCUCAAAGCUUCUGGUGAUUGCCAGCAGCAAUCCUUGGAAUUUUUUUCCCCAACAAAUGUAUCAUUCUAAUCUCUGCCUCCAUCAUCACAUAGCACUUUUAUGUGUUUUUGUGCCCAAAUAUAUUUUUUCUUUUUCAUAAGUAUACUCAUAUUGGAAUAAGCCCUACCCUAAUUUGGUAUAACUUUGAUUUAGGUUGAUUACAUUUCUAAAGACCCUAUUUCCAAAUAAUGUCACUCAUAGAUACAAGCUGUUAAGGCUUGAGCAUAUUGUUUAGGAUGACACAAUUCUACUCAUUACAGAAACUUCAAGAAGACUUAGAAUAUUCUAGAAUAUUCUUUUGUGGAUUUUAGUUAUUCAAAGACCUUAGGGCAAUUUAACUUUUCUAAUCCCUCAAAUUGCUAUUUAUUGCUGUGUACUGUAUUCCUAAUGUGUAUUUUAACUUCCAUAAGAUAUUCUUAUUUCUAUAGAGAGUAUUCAUUAAACUCAUUCAUGCAGGUAUAAUGAUCUUUUUGUUUUCUCUUGACUGCUUCCUGAAUCUUCCAUAUGUGUGUGUGUGUGUGUGAGUGAGAGAGAGAGAGAGAGAGAGAGAGAGAGAGAGAGAGAGAGAGGCAGUAUUUGUGUGUUUGGGGAUGUAUGUCUUGAAAAUUUGCAUGUAAUCUUUCCUCUCAAAGAGAUUAUUUGAUGGACUAGGUACCUUUUCAUUGUCUACUCUAAGAACAUGGUUCUAUGAUAAAUUCAUUUAAUAUCUUCAGAUAAAAAGGUCAUUAUUUUUCAAAUUUUCCAUUUAUAAAAUGUUAUUGGGGCUGGGGAUAUGGCUCAAGCGGUAGUGCGCUUGCUUGGCAUGAGCAGGGCACUGGGUUCAAUCCUCAGUACCACAUAAAAAAUUUAAAAAAAAUAAAGAUGUUGUGUCUACAGAAAACUAAAAAAUAAAUAUUAAAAAAAUUCUCUCUCUCUCUCUUUAAAAAAAAAAAAGUUAUAUCUUUAAUUCUGUCCUGAUGCAUAAAAUGCAUUUUUAGUCACUGUGGAAAUGGAAAGAGAAUUUGGAGAGUUUAAUCUCCAGUUUCUUUAUGUACAAGGGAAAAUACACAUUCCCAGUUUCUUUUUGGGAAGUUGAUUAAACAGUCUUUCUCCUUCUCUCUGUGUUGCUCUGUCUCUGUCUCUUUCUCUUUGUGUUGGGGAUUGAACUGGAGGCACUUUCCCACUAAGCUACAAACCUCCAGCUCAUUUUAUUUUUUAUUUUGAGAGAGGGUCUUGCUAAAUUGCUGAAGCUGGCCUCAAACUCUCAAUCCUCUUGCCUCAACCUCCUGAGUUGCUGGGAUUACAGGUGUGUGCCAUUUCACUUGGCUCAUUAGACAAUCUCAUUGAGGCCCCUCUGACAGUAUAUCUAUAUAAUGUGAAUUAUGGAUAAAAAAGCAUUUUUAUGUAUAGGGAUUUAUUCUAAGAAAUUAAAAAAUAUAUGCAACAUACACACUACUUAUUGAAGUAUUAUUUAUAACAAUAAAAACCUUAGAAUUUAUUUAAGGAGCUGUAAGGACAAAUUGUACCUCAAUAGAAAAUUAUGUACUAUCUAUAGCAUAACCUCUAGCAUUAUCUUAUUGCAGGGGAGGUUUUUUCAACUUCAUAAAUUGCAGAUAUCUCAGAGAAAUGCAAAUAAUUCUUUUCUAUAGGCAUGUAAAUUUUGCCCUCUUGAGUUUCAGUUGACUCCUUUCCCACAUCAUGAAAGAAACUAGUUUUGUCCCAAUUUGCACAUUCAUUUCAUUAUUCUUGCUCUCCAAAUCUCUCAUGCUUUUGAUUCUCUUUUGAAGUGGUUUUGAUACCUUAGCAGUUUCCUCCUUAUUGGGUUAAAUAAAAUUCUUAUCACAAGUUUAUUAUUAAAUCUGAGACAUGAUUUUACCUAAUUUUUGAAAACUAUUGUUUAACAUGACUUAUAAUAGGAGAAUGGCUCAAAUAUUCAUGCUGGGGAACACUGCACUCAUUAAAAUUACCAUGCAGAUGCAUUUGAUAACAUAGAUGUGCCUAGCAAAAUCCUUAAGAAUCACAGAUCCACCACUAAUUGGUGGUGUGAACUUUUGCUUCAAUUAUCUCCUGUAAAACAGAGAUAAUGAUAGUACCUACUUCAUAGUUGCAGUAUGUAAACUAUUGUAUCCAACACCCUUGGAAGAGUGCCUGCACACAAUAUAGAAAGUGCACUGUAGAACAUCUUAUUACAUUCUAAAAAGAUUUUAAAAAGCACAAUUUUACGAUUUUAUUGUUUUAUUCUGUGUAUAUAUUAGUCUAUACUAAAAGAAAUAGACCAAUAUUAUAUAUAUAUAUUUGUAGAUGGACACAAUACCUUUAAUUUAUUCAUUUAUUUUAUAUAGUGCUGAGGAUCAAACCCAGUGCCUCACACAUGCUAGGCAAGCGCUCCACCACUGAGCCACAACCCCAGCUCAACAUUUUAUUUUUAACACGGAAAUCCUUUUUAGUCUUUUUAAAAAUUUCACUUUCAAUUGCUUUUAUUAGAAAGGACAUGUUAAUUUCAUAAGAAAUGUGAAAAUUAAUUUUAAAAUGUCACAAUUAUUUUGUGAGCCAUUUAAAUAAAUGUAAUAGAGAAAAGGCAAAAAAAAAAAAAAAAUCUCUGCAAGAAGGAAAGGCAUAUUUAGGUUCCUUGUUUUCAGAUGGUUUCCCUUUGUUUACCAGCUUCUGGCUAUGUCCUGGAAUAGCCUGUAUAAGAUUGUCAGCAGCCAUGCAUAUGAAUGAAAAAAAGGAGAAAAAGAUAACAAAGUCACUGCUUCGUUUAUGAAAAACAGAAGCCUGCAUAUGGGCAGAUGGUGCCUUAUCCCUAAUUUGCAGAGCAUGUACAUCUGGUGGUUCUGCCCAUAUUAUAAAACUUGUGGUUGGGAUGAGUUAGAGCGGCCUGUUUACUUGAGAAGUUGUCAUAAAAACAAGACAGUCAGACCUCAUCCAAAUGGUGCUUCUUCAUCAUCCUCUUUUUUUUCUAUACCAGCAAUAAAAAUUAUGCUCUCUUUCAUUGUUUUUAUCAAAAUUUGGAAGACAGAAGCUUAAAUUGGUAGUCAGUAACAGUGAUGCUACUAUGAGAACUAAAUAACACAACCUUCUCAGUCACUGAGGCUCUGAACUCAUUAAUGAUUUAAGAACUACUUUAUCACAGUCACUUAUUAAUUAUGAUGCUGUUUUCUUAGAUAUUUUCUCAGCAACUACAUGGUAUGAUUUUAUCAUGAUUGUCCCCAGUUGGCUGCCUUUUCUGAUAGCUAUGCUUAUCAAAAUACCCACCCAUUCUGUUGUGUCUUCAAAAAAUAAAAACCUAGAAAUGUACAGAGUAUUAACUGGAGGCACAUUCAGUAGAAAAGAGGGAACUUAAAGUUAUGAGAUAGAACAGACUACACUAAUAUAACUACACUAAUAAUAAGGACAAGGUCUGAUAAUUGGAAUCAUGAAGAUUAGGAGAUAAUUUCUGAUCUUUGGUACAAAUUCAAUAAAGAGAGGAAAACACAUGAAAGAUCAAUACCCUGCAGGAUGAGAUAGAGCUUCCCAGCUUACUAUUGUGUCUAUAUGUAUGUUAUGGAAGAAAAGAUUGUUUGGUAAAUAUUUGUUUAAAAUAAUCAUUUUUGACCUCUCUGCUAGGUGUUUUCAAAGUAUUAGAAAUUGAAGCAGCUUUUAUUCUUUAUCCAUUAAUAACCAAUGCUCAGCCUUACGACAUACAGAUUUAAAAUGGUGUAUGUAACUGAGUCUCCAUUUCCCAAGGUAUCUUCUCAGUACUUACUGAGUCCAAGACAUUUGGAAACAACCAAGAAAUCUUACAUCUUGCACUGUUACCUUAAGUGCUUCUGCAAGUCAAUAUUACUGGCCAUUUUGGUGAGAAUAUUAUAAAAAUAAUACCUUUUAUUAUUAUAGAUAUUAUUAUAAAAUAUCACAAAAUGAAUGUUAUAAAAUAACUUUUAUACAAAAGAUUUGUUUCAAUAAAAACUACCAUCUGUAACAUACCCUUUGAGCUUUGUUAUUCUAGCCCUUGUUCACUGUCAUUAAGCAAUUGUCCAAUGCUUUGGAAGUACUAGUUAAAUGCAAUCCUGUCUGGGAGUAAGUUUAAUUCACUAGGUUUCUUUGGUUUAAAACAAAACAAAACAAACUUUUUCCAUAUUUGCAAUUCAUUUCAUCAUCCCUUUCCAUAAAUUUGUGCUGUUUGGUUUAGCUUUUGAAUUGGUUAUUAUGUCUGUCUUUCCCUUAUAUAUGUAAAUUAUUUAACACAUGUACAUUUUUAUAUUUGUAUAAAAGACAUGACUUUACUUUUUUAUUAAUAUCCUUUUCAAUUGAUAAGUCAUAAUUUAUACAUUUAUACAGUAUAAUGUUAUGUUUUAUAAUAUAUGUACAGUGCAGAAUGAUUAAAUCAAACUAAUAUAUCUGUCACAUUUCUGAUUUUUUUUUUGUGGUGAGACAUUUGAAAUUUAGUCUUUUAACUAUUUUGAAAUACUAUUAUAUAUAUACUAUUAACAUUAAUUUUAUAUAUAAUCACCUUGAUGUGCAGUAGUUCUCAAAAAUUUGCUUUUUAUGAAAAAUGACUUUUAGUAGUUUUGAAGAUUUUUGCCAUGAUACCUGAUUGUGUUUGCUCACCAGAUUUAGGUAAAGUCCAUUGCUACCCAGAUGAACCUCACAAUCAACCUUGGAUAAUUCUCACAUUUUUCUAACUUUCAUUCUCUAUUAAUUUUGUUCUUGUUUUUUUUUUUUUUCUGUUAAGUUAUUCCUCAUUGGAAAUUUCACUUUUUAGUUUGACCAUCUGAUGAUUUCUACAAAUGGAUUAAUGUUUUAUAGAGAUUUAUUCUUUGUUGGAAGAGAAGCAAUAGAGAAUCUCGUUUGUUAGUAUUUUUUUUUUAAUUGAGAAUUUGAUUUUAAGGCCAGAUCAUUUGUUGAUCUGUACAGACUAAUGGAUUAUAGAUAUCAUGUCUCUGUUUGGUGAGAAAUUUAAAAAAAACUGGUUGAUAGUUUUUUCUGUUUGUCUAUUUUGAACUUCAAACAUUCAUCUCUUGGGAAGAGAAUAACAAUUUUUCAAUAAUAAGAAUAUUGCAAUUCCACGUUUAUUCUUGCUCCAUGGCUGAAGUUUGUAUACUUAGGUUAUAAAUUCUCCCUACCUCUGUCUGUGGCUCUGCUAUGCAUUUGGAAUUCAGAAAAUCUUCAUGUCAUAUGGUGUGAGAUUGUAAUAAUUUCUACAUCACUGGCAUUCAUAAAUUAGAUUACAAAGUCUCUUAUAAGAUUUUCAGGUUGAUUGGAUAACAGAAACAAAUGCUUAUGUAAGUAGAAUUUUCUUAAAAUUUCCAGAAAGUAAGAAAAUUGAACUUCUAAUACUUCCAGUGUGACAGAUUAAAAAGUUAUGCUUACUGAAACUGACUUGAAAAUGUUUUAAAAAUUCACGUAUGUAUGAUUUAGGUGAAUCAUGGCAAAUGAAAUUAGUUUAGUAAUUUUCUUUCAAUAAAAAAUAGCAAAAUCUAUUCUGAUUUGUCCAUGAUAAAUAUGAGUAUAUUUCUAUUCUACCGGGUAUGUUCUUCCUAACUUUCUAUGGGUUUAUUUAUUUAAAUAAGUUAGCAUUAUUUCUACUUAAUGUUUGAGGUUAUAAAAAAUUCAAAUUUGAGUUUAACCAAGUGGAUUCAUUUUUUUCUGAUAAUUUAUGUCAGUAGUAAUUAGUUUUGUAAUAUGAGAAUUUAAAAUUUGUAUUUCUCAUCUAUCUAUCUAUCUAUCUAUAUAUUUUGGGUGUUGGGAAUGAAACCAGGGCAUCAUGCAUGCUAAGCGACUGCUCUGCCACUGAGCUAUACCUCUAGUCCUUAAAAUAAUUUUUAAGAUUUUUAGAUAAUUUAAAACUUUUUAUGAAUAUUAAACUAAAUUAAUGAAUUUAUAUACAUUAGAUAACUAGGUCAUUUCUAAGACCAAAGAUGAUUUCUAAACACAAAAACAUUGAUUACUCAGCAUAAUUUGAAAUUCAUUUGCUUUUGACAGAGAAUGUCUUUGGGGAUAUUGAUGAAUGUUCUGACUUUGGGACUAUGAGAAAUUUAAUAGAAAGAUCCUGUGUUCAUGAGCUGUGCUGAACCAUAAGGAUGCAAGGGUGUAAUAUUUAUGGGGGUCCAUCCUCCAGUUUUUUCUCAUAGAAGUUACUUUGGUUCAUAGCUAUAAAUGAUAUACUGGAAUGAGGCUACUAACAAGUACUAGUUUCAAAGAAAUGCACCUAUGUACAUGUAUUUUUCAAAGAAAAGAGUAGUUUUCUCCUAAAGAGUAUUUAUUGGGUCAUUUCUUUAGGCUAAUUGAGGAUUCAAAAGGGAUUUUGUGAGAAAUAAUAAUAUUUAUGGUGUUGUAAACUGAAACAAAAAUUUUAAAAUGCUUACUUAGUGAUUCAGUUAAAGAUAGCAAUGAUGAAUGCAUUCCUUUUAAUAACAUUCUAGUAAUAAUUCGAGACUAAUUUUUACUGUUUAUACUCUUUAAGAUUGGCUUUAAAGGGCCAGUUUGUUCCCAAAUAUGAAAGAACAACAGACAAAUUUUAAAAAUGGAUUUUGUUCGUCUUGUCUAGAUUUAUAAUACUUAAGUAUGAAAAGCUAUGAAAUAUUUUAAGCUCUAACUAAGGUUUCGAUGGACCGGUUUCCUUGUUUUUUUUUUCUAAUAAUCUGCAACAUUGACAAUUAUUCAUAAUUUUUCUGUGUAAUAUGUCUAGAUAAUAAGAGUUUGUGUCUUAUCAGAAUGACUUUCUAUGUUUUUGUUGGUUUUCUGCUGUCCUUGUCAAAGACAACUUUUUUCUUAUGUAGGAAAGAGUGUAGAUUUUUUCCAAUUAUACUACCUCUUAUGUUUCAUUUUCAAUUAUUAUCACUUUGAAAUGAGUGAGGAUAUUGUUUCUUAAGCAGCAUGACCCAAUUCCUAGCUUAAGUAUUAUAGUCUCCUGACAACUUUUGAUUUUUUUUUCCCUAAACCAAAUCUUAAAUACAAAAUAAAAUAUCUUUGGGAAUAUCUUGUACGUAAAACUAUCUUUGAGAUUCCAAGAGGACCUCUGAACAAUCACAAAGCUAUGUGUUCUUUCAUUCUACUUCAAAAAAGAAAAAAAAAAAGAGGUGCUAAAUAUAAUGAGAUUUAUUUGAUAUGUUACUGUUUUUCAGUGUCCACAAUGUCCAUGUAAUGUUUUUAUUUAUCAGUUUGGCACUGCUUUGCCUUGGUGUUAGAGGCCAAGGGUACAGCUGUUAAAAUGCUAAUGGGGUUGCAUCAUUACUUCCUUAAUUUGGAUAUAGCAUCUUCUAGGUCAGUAGUUUUCAACUGGGAAUUCAAAAUAGUUACAUCUGGAACUUCAAGAUGCGGAUGUUCAAACCUCCUACAGAUUUACUGAAUCUCUAUUUGAUUUCCUUGUGAUAUUCUUUGUAUGUCUUAAUAUGUGCUUGGGUGUACCAUGAUAUGUGUCAGGAUUGUUAUUUUUUACAUUAAGGUUUUACUCUGUAAAAAUAUGUUCCUCCAUUUUAUGAACUGACUUUAUUACUUGGGUUCCAUAGAAACAAUCAAAUUAUAAUCAGAUUUCUUUGUUAAUUGCAUUAUUGUUAAAGACUCUCAUUGGAUCUUUCUUUCACUUUUGAAAAUUGUCACGAAUAAGUUAGCUAUAACUCUUUUUAUUCUUUUGUCCUUUGGAGAGUUUUAUUUUGCUUCUUUACUCUGACACUUCUCUUAAAGUUUUGAAAUCAGCUUCAAGUCAAAAACUUUGUCUUUAACAAAGAAUGUGUCACAUAUAUACAUAUAGUAAUAAUGUCUGUUUCAUUCUACUAUCUUUUCUAUCCCACAUCCCCUCCACUCCCUUCCCAUCACUUCCCUCUACCUAAUCUAAGGUAACACUAUUCUUCCCUAGUGCCCCCCACCUUAUUGUGAAUUAGCAUCCACGUAUUAGAGAAAACAUUUGGCCUUUGGUUUUAUGGGAUUGGCGUAUUUUGCUUAGCAUGAUAUUCUCCAAUUCCAACCAUUUACUGCCAAAUGCCAUAAUUUCACUUUUCUUUAAAGCCGAGUAAAUAUUCCAUUGAGGUAUAUAUACCACAUUUUUUUUUAUCCAUUAAUCUAUUGAGGAACUCCUAGGUUGGUCCCAUAGUCUAGCUAUUGUGAAUUGAGCUUCAAUAAACAUUCACAUGGCUGCAUCACUAUAGUAUGCUGAUAUUAAAACCUUUUGGUAUAACCAAGGAGUAGAGUAGCUGGUUCAAAUGGUGGUUCCAUUCCAAGUUUUCUGAAGAAUCUCUAUACUGCUUUCCAUAGUGGUGGCACCAAUUUGCAUUCUCACCAGCAAUGUACGAAUGUACCUUUUUCAUGACAUCCUCACCAGCAUUUACUGUUUCCUAUAUUCUUGAUGAUUGCCAUUCUGACAAGAGUGAGAUUAAAUCUUAGAGUAGUUUUGAUUUGCAUUUCUCUAAUUGCUGGAGAUUUUGAACAUUUUUUCAUAUAUUUGUUGAUUAAUUGUAUUUCUUUUUCUGUGAAGUGUCUUUUCAGUUCAUUAGCCCAUUUAUUAAUUGGGUUAUUUAUUUUUUGAUGUUAAGUUUUUUGAGAUUUUAUAUACCAUAGAGAUUAAAGCUUUAUCCGAGGUCCAUGUGGUAAAGAUUUUCUCCAAUCUGUAGGCUCUCUCCUCAUGUUAUUAAUUGUUUUCUUUGUUGAGAAGAAGCUUUUUAAUCUGAUUCCAUCACAUUUAUUGAUUCUUGAUUUUACUUCUUGUGCUUUAGAAGUCUUAUUAAGGAAGUCAGAUCCUAGACCAACGUGGUAAAGAUUUGAGCCUAUUUUUUUUCUUCUAUUAGGCGCAGGGUCUCUGUUCUAGUGCUAAGUCUUUGAUCCACAUUGAGUUGAUUUUUGUGCAGGAUGAGAGAUAGAAGUUAAUUUCAUUUUUCUACAUAUAGAUUUCCAGUAUUGCCAGCACCAUUUGUUGAAUAGGCUGCCUUUUCUCCAGUUAAUGUUUUUGGCACCCUUGUCUAAUAUAAGAUAAGCCUAUUUAUGUGGGUUUGUCUCUGUGUUCUCUAUUCUGUAGCAUUGGUCUACAAGUUUAUUUUGGUGCCAAUACUGUGCCAUUUUUCUUACUAUAGCUCUGUAGUAAAGUUUAAGGUCUGGUAUUGUGAUGCCUCCUGCUUCACUUUUCUUGCUAAGGAUUGCUUUAGCUAUUGUGGGUCUCUUAUUUUUUCAAAUAAAUUUCAUGAUUGCUUUUUCUAUUUCUAUGAAGAAUGUAAUGGGGACUUUAAUAGAAAUUGCAUUAAAUCUAUAUAAUGCUUUUGGUAGUAUGGUCAUUUUAAUAAUAUUAAUUCUGCCUAUCCAGGAGCAUGGGGGAUCUUUCCAUCUUCUGAGGUUUUCUUCAAUUUCUUUCUUUAAUGUUCUGUAGUUUUCAUUGUAGAGGUCUUUUACCUCUUUUGUUAUAUUGAUUCCCAGGUUAUUUAUUUAUUUAUUUAUUUGGCUAUUAUGAAUAUAAUCAUCAGUUGUGUAAUAUGUAAUCUGUAGUAUAAAUUUAAUAAUAAUCUGCCCUUAAUUAUACUCAUAUAUAAUUGGGAAUGUUGCUUUUGCAGCCAGGACCUUGUCUGGAAUUUUAUACUUAAGGUUGAUGGCUAUUUAAUUAAAAAUGAUCAUAUACUUUCAAGGUAAAAAGAUUGACUUCAUUUAGCCAAUGAUUAUACAGCUCUCUUGGAAGAACUGGAAAGACCUUGCUUACAGGAUUUCCAGUCUAAUGAAGGUCUCUUUUGGGCAAUCUCAGGAAGCUUUGCAUAUUUGGGGGACUUUGAGAAGAAAAACAUUCACCCAAAGAAAUAGGUACUGCAGGCAAAAUCUGGCCCUAAGUUCUUGCCAUGGUUUCUGAGCCUCAAGAGGCUUUUAAAGGUCCUAUAUGAGAUUCCUUAUGAAAAUUUUCAGCAAAGUGAACCUAAGAAGGCCCAUAUGGCAAAUUAACACACUUGCUGCACCUAUGUAAAUAAUCAGGUCAAAUCUAAUGGGAUUCAUUCUUAUUUUGUGAUUAAAAAAUAAUUUUCUUUGAAAUUAUUUUUAAAUCAAGAGGGGGAAUAUUAGAGGAAAACUUCUUUAAACAGAACAUUAUUCAUAAUCUGUUGCAUGCCCUUCUGGAUAUAUCUGGAUAUAUCAUAUUCUGACCCUGUUUAUUGUCUUCAGCUCUUUUUAACUUCUUGCAAUUUGUUAUUGAUAAUGAUGUAAAUUCUAUUCUGUCUAUAAAGAAUUUUAAUUAAUUUCUUUCCUCUGUGAACAAAAACAGUUCUGUUUCCAUUUUAAUUCAUUUCAACAUUCCCUUAUUUCCUAUAAAUGUGUACUGUUUUGAUUUUUACUUUGGACUGGUGAUAAUAUCUAACCUGGUUCCCUCAUAUCCUAUGAGUAAAAUAAAUUAUUUAUCAGUAUAUAUAUAUAUGUGUGUGUGUGUGUGUGUGUGUGUGUGCGUAUGUGUGCGUGUCAAGAUUUUAUCCUUUUUCCUGAAAAUGAUCUUUUAACACUUUUUUCCCAAUGAUAUUAACAGUGAAAAUUAUAUGACUUAAGAGUCUAUGGUGGGCUGAGUGCAGUACACACCUGUGAUCCCAGCAGCUAGGAAGGCUGAGGCAGAAAAAUUGCAAGUUCAAAGGCAGUCUCAGCAACUUAUCAAGACCCUCUAUCAAAACAAAUGAUAAAAAAAAGGCUGUGUAUGUGGCUCAGUGAUUAUGUGCUCCUAAAUUCAAUCCCCAGUAUCCCCCAAAAUGAGUGUAUGGUGGUUCUAAAAGACUACUAUGUGUAUUAUAAUCCUAUUAACAAUGUAAAAAUAUAUUUUAAUGUGUCAUAUUCUUAAAAUAGUUGUAAACUGUACCUAUUAGCUGACUGAGAGAUAAAAGCAAAUAAAUGUGUCUUUUUUCCCAUAUUGUAAUUCAGAAGUAAAUGAUAAGUCCACUUUUCACCUUAUUAGAGAAGUAAGCAAAGUUGUCUAAAUUUCACUCUGGGUCAGUAAAGUUAUAAAUUGGAGGUUAAAAAUAAAUAAAUAAGUAAAUCUUGGAUUCAGACCAGUUUUUUUUUUUUUAAUUUUUUAUUGUGGGUUGUUCAAAACAUUACAAAUUUCUUGACAUAUCAUAUUCCACACUUUGAUUCAAGUGGGUUAUGAACUCCCACCUUCACCCCAUACACAGAUUGCAGAAUCACAUCAGUUACACAUCCAUUGAUUUACAUAUUGCCAUACUAGUGUCUGUUGUGCUCCGCUGCCUUUCCCAUCCUCCACUCUCCCCCCUCCCCACCUCUCCCCUCCCCUCCCCUCCUCUCUCUCUACCCCCUCCACUGUAUAACCCUGAGGGUCUCCUUCCAUUACCAUGCAAUUUCCCUUCUCUCUCCCUUUCCCUCCCACCUCUCAUCCCUGUUAAAUGUUAAUCUUCUUCUCCUGCUCUUCGUCCCUACUCUGAUCUUAGUUACUCUCCUUAUAUCAAAGAAGACAUUUGGCAUUUGUUUUUUAGGGAUUGGCUAGCUUCACUUAGCAUAAUCUGCUCUAAUGCCAUCCAUUUCCCUGCAAAUUCCAUGAUUUUGUCAUUUUUUAGUGCUGCGUAAUACUCCAUUGUGUAUAAAUGCCACAUUUUUUUUAUCCAUUCGUCUAUUGAAGGGCAUCUAGGUUGGUUCCACAGUCUUGCUAUUGUGAACUGUGCUGCUAUGAACAUCGAUGUAGCAGUGUCCCUGUAGCAUGCUCUUUUUAGGUCUUUAGGGAAUAGACCAAGAAGGGGAAUAGCUGGGUCAAAUGGUGGCUCCAUUCCCAGCUUUCCAAGAAAUCUCCAUACUGCUUUCCAAAUUGGCUGCACCAAUCUGCAGUCCCACCAGCAAUGUACAAGUGUACCCUUUUCCCCACAUCCUCGCCAGCACUUGUUGUUGUUUGACUUCAUAAUGGCUGCCAAUCUUACUGGAGUGAGAUGGUAUCUUAGGGUGGUUUUGAUUUGCAUUUCUCUGACAGCUAGAGAUGUUGAGCAUUUUUUCAUGUACUUGUUGAUUGACUGUAUGUCCUCCUCUGAGAAGUGUCUGUUCCGGUCCUUGGCCCNNNNNNNNNNNNNNNNNNNNNNNNNNNNNNNNNNNNNNNNNNNNNNNNNNNNNNNNNNNNNNNNNNNNNNNNNNNNNNNNNNNNNNNNNNNNNNNNNNNNNNNNNNNNNNNNNNNNNNNNNNNNNNNNNNNNNNNNNNNNNNNNNNNNNNNNNNNNNNNNNNNNNNNNNNNNNNNNNNNNNNNNNNNNNNNNNNNNNNNNNNNNNNNNNNNNNNNNNNNNNNNNNNNNNNNNNNNNNNNNNNNNNNNNNNNNNNNNNNNNNNNNNNNNNNNNNNNNNNNNNNNNNNNNNNNNNNNNNNNNNNNNNNNNNNNNNNNNNNNNNNNNNNNNNNNNNNNNNNNNNNNNNNNNNNNNNNNNNNNNNNNNNNNNNNNNNNNNNNNNNNNNNNNNNNNNNNNNNNNNNNNNNNNNNNNNNNNNNNNNNNNNNNNNNNNNNNNNNNNNNNNNNNNNNNNNNNNNNNNNNNNNNNNNNNNNNNNNNNNNNNNNNNNNNNNNNNNNNNNNNNNNNNNNNNNNNNNNNNNNNNNNNNNNNNNNNNNNNNNNNNNNNNNNNNNNNNNNNNNNNNNNNNNNNNNNNNNNNNNNNNNNNNNNNNNNNNNNNNNNNNNNNNNNNNNNNNNNNNNNNNNNNNNNNNNNNNNNNNNNNNNNNNNNNNNNNNNNNNNNNNNNNNNNNNNNNNNNNNNNNNNNNNNNNNNNNNNNNNNNNNNNNNNNNNNNNNNNNNNNNNNNNNNNNNNNNNNNNNNNNNNNNNNNNNNNNNNNNNNNNNNNNNNNNNNNNNNNNNNNNNNNNNNNNNNNNNNNNNNNNNNNNNNNNNNNNNNNNNNNNNNNNNNNNNNNNNNNNNNNNNNNNNNNNNNNNNNNNNNNNNNNNNNNNNNNNNNNNNNNNNNNNNNNNNNNNNNNNNNNNNNNNNNNNNNNNNNNNNNNNNNNNNNNNNNNNNNNNNNNNNNNNNNNNNNNNNNNNNNNNNNNNNNNNNNNNNNNNNNNNNNNNNNNNNNNNNNNNNNNNNNNNNNNNNNNNNNNNNNNNNNNNNNNNNNNNNNNNNNNNNNNNNNNNNNNNNNNNNNNNNNNNNNNNNNNNNNNNNNNNNNNNNNNNNNNNNNNNNNNNNNNNNNNNNNNNNNNNNNNNNNNNNNNNNNNNNNNNNNNNNNNNNNNNNNNNNNNNNNNNNNNNNNNNNNNNNNNNNNNNNNNNNNNNNGGGUGGACCAAUGGUACAGAAUAGAGGACACAGAGACUAAUCCACAAAGUUACAACUAUCUUAUAUUUGAUAAAGGGGCUAAAAGCAUGCAAUGGAGGAAGGAUAGCAUCUUCAACAAAUGGUGCUGGGAAAACUGGAAAUCCAUAUGCAACAAAAUGAAACUGAAUCCCUUUCUCUCGCCAUGCACAAAAGUUAACUCAAAAUGGAUCAAGGAGCUUGAUAUCAAAUCAGAGACUCUGCGUCUGAUAGAAGAAAAAGUUGGCUCCGAUCUACAUAUUGUGGGGUCGGGCUCCAAAUUCCUUAAUAGGACACCCAUAGCACAAGAGUUAAUAACAAGAAUCAACAAAUGGGACUUACUUAAACUAAAAAGUUUUUUCUCAGCAAGAGAAACAAUAAGAGAGGUAAAUAGGGAGCCUACAUCAUGGGAACAAAUUUUUACUCCUCACACUUCAGAUAGAGCCCUAAUAUCCAGAGUAUACAAAGAACUCAAAAAAUUAAACAAUAAGAUAACAAAUAACCCAAUCAACAAAUGGGCCAAGGACCUGAACAGACACUUCUCAGAGGAGGACAUACAAUCAAUCAACAAGUACAUGAAAAAAUGCUCACCAUCUCUAGCAGUCAGAGAAAUGCAAAUCAAAACCACCCUAAGAUACCAUCUCACUCCAGUAAGAUUGGCAGCCAUUAUGAAGUCAAACAACAACAAGUGCUGGCGAGGAUGUGGGGAAAAGGGUACUCUUGUACAUUGCUGGUGGGACUGCAAAUUGGUGCGGCCAAUUUGGAAAGCAGUAUGGAGAUUCCUGGGAAAGCUGGGAAUGGAACCACCAUUUGACCCAGCUAUUGCCCUUCUCGGACUAUUCCCUGAAGACCUUAAAAGAGCGUACUGCAGGGAUACUGCCACAUUGAUGUUCAUAGCAGCACUAUUCACAAUAGCUAGACUGUGGAACCAACCCAGAUGCCCUUCAAUAGAUGAAUAGAUAAAAAAAAUGUGGCAUUUAUACACAAUGUAGUAUUAUGCAGCACUAAAAAAUGACAAAAUCAUGGAAUUUGCAGGGAAAUGGAUGGCUUUAGAGCAGAUUAUGCUAAGUGAAGCUAGCCAAUCCCUAAAAAACAAAUGCCAAAUGUCUUUUUUGAUAUAAUGAGAGCAACUACGAACAGAGCAGGGAGGAAGAGUAGGAGGAAAAGAUCAACUUUAAACAGAGACAUGAGGUGGGAGGGAAAGGGAGAGAAAAGGGAAAUUGCAUGGAAAUGGAAGGAGACCCUCAUUGUUAUACAAAAUUACAUAUAAGAGGUUGUGAGGGGGAAGGGGAAAAAAACAAGGGAAAGAAUUAAAUUACAACAGAUGGGGUAGAGAGAGAAGAUGGGAGGGGAGGGGAGGGGGGAUAGUAGAGGAUAGGAAAUGUAGCAGAAUACAACAGUUACUAAUAUGGCAUUAUGUAA